UUACACAUGCUGCAAUUUUGCCACACAAAACACGCCUCCAAAGAAACACAACAACUAAGACACCAAAGCCACACUGAAUAGAAUUUGUCCCUUCUUUUCGCACUUACGUUUUUUUUUUUUUUUUUUUGCAUCCUGGAAGUCCUCUUCUUGUGUUCCUCCAUUGCUACCACAAUAAGCUCAUCAAUGUUGCCAUCAAUUUGAUCAGCCCAACGGAAGUGAUUAUAGUACAUACCCAUUAACCCCCUCAACAACGUUAACCAAAGAAAACUUCAAUAAAAAAAUAUGUUCAGACAAAUUAAAAACAAGAAAAACCAAUUUCACCUUCCAAUUAGGGCAACCCUAGAAUAAGUGUCCAAGAUUCUUAGAGCUAUGCGAAAUAACAAGCACCUCCCUGUCCUCACACAAGCAUUUUUUCCAUCUAGGAAUAACGGGUGUCAGAGAUGAUGCUGACGACACACUGCCAUCAACUAAAGAGAAAUCUCUCAAGGUUGAUGAAUCUACUCUUCGAUAAGGAGGCAUGGUGAUAGGUGGAGACUGGUGAUGGCCGAAAAAGCUCAAUGGUUAGGGGUGGUGGUGGGACUCAUGAUUGAGAGAGAAGCUCAAUGGUUGGUGGUGGGGCUCAUGAACCAGUGAGGUUUAGGAGACAGUCCACUUUAAAGAAAACAUUUUUAUUUUAAGUUAAUUUUUCAAUUUAAUAUUUAAUAAUGAAAAUAAAAAAUAAAUCCACAUCAGCGCUAUUACAACAUGACCUUUAGGAACAAGCCAGGUGUAAAAACAUUUAAGUAGUUAAUGGUGUAACCUACGUUAAGCACUAAAACAGUGGAUGGAAAAAGAACUUUAGGAAUGAAGAUCAAUCCUCCAAAGUUAAAAAGACCAAAACCAUAAAUGUUCAAAGGUUGGAGAACCAAAACCAUAGUUCACCCUUAAUAUAAUUUUUAUCUAAUAAAAAUUAGUCUAUUAAUAUCAAGAGUUUGAUUUUUAUAUAUUGUCAUUGUAAACAAAUUUAUACUAAUUAAAAAUCAUCAUUAAUAUAACUUUUAAGGGACAAAUAAAUACUAUAUAAUAUAUUCAUGGUAUAUAUAUAUAUUAAUUUUUCAAAUAGAACCAUUGUCUCACACGUAGGGGGGAAAAUUAGUAAAUUUGCACUGCAACAUUCUUACGAGGCUCAAACUCAUGUGCGUCAUCACCCAUGCCCCUACUAGUCACUUUAAAAGCCUUAGACACAAGUUGAUAGAUUAAUUCUAGGGUGCGCAAGUGUAUCUUGAGACAAUGCGAGACACUUGCAUUUUAGACUACCAUUGAAAUAAAACAAAAAAAUUAGAUUAUUUUUUUUAAAAGGAAAAAUAAGUAAGAUUUAAUUAUAUUCUUAUUGUGAUUUCCAUUUGUAUAGUAUUUUAAAAAAAUAAUUCUAUUGUAAUUAUGAUAAUUAUUAAAUUUAUAAAAAUAUAUUCCUACAUUAUAAAUUAGACUACACAAUUUUAAAAAAUUACUUUACUUAAACAUUUUAAAAUUUCCUAAUUAUCAUUAUAAACUAUUAUAAAAAUUAAAUAUAAAUUUAUUUUAAGUUUAAAGCUAUUUAAAAGCAAAAAAAAAAAUCUAUCUACUUUUGUUGUUACUUAAAUAAUAAUUCAUUGAAGUUUCAAAUUUAUAUGUUUUAAUUGUUACUAGCAUCAUUUAAAGACUAAACUAAGUUUGAUAAAUCAAACUAAGUUAUAUAUUUGACUAGUAUGCCAUUCAUAUUUUAUAAUUUUAUCAGAAUAAUUUUGUAUAUUUUAAAAUUUUAUUAAUUAUUUAUUGUCAAGAAAUAUUUAAAUAUAUUUUUAUAUACACACAUAUUCCAGAAAAUUGUUAUUAUUGAAGGUGUUAUCCUAGAUAUAAGAUCCCCAUCACUUUCAUGAUGUGAUGCAUGUUUCUUUUUUACUUUUUCAAAAAAAAAAAUUUAUUGAUUUUUAACUGUGUUAUUAAUACGAAGUGUCUAGUGAUUUUUUUAUUACUAAUCUUAGUAAAAAAGUGACAUUUGUCUUAAAUUAAAUUAAUUAAUAAAAUAUGUUAAAAUUAUCAUAUAUACAAAAUUAUUACAAGCACUAAGUUCAAUUUAUUAGAAGUAGUGAUAAAAGCUAAUAAAAUAUAUUAUAGGAGACAUAUAUUUAAGGUAAUAAUAUAAAGUAAUAGAAUGAUUCUUAUUUAUUUGAGUUUCUUUAAAAGAACGAUUGUUAUAUCAUUUUUAAUGAAAAUUUAUUAAGUGGAUUUCUUAAAUUAUUUUUUUGGUUUGCUCAUUACUUUUUUAUGAUCCCACAAUCUCAUGUCAUUAACAAAUUUAUACACAAUUUUACUCUAAUGGUAGAAAGUUUUAAAAAACUUUAAAAAACUCACACUUUUAUAUUUUUUUAUUUUCACUUAAUUAUGAUUUAAUUGUAGUAUUGUUACAUGUCACAUAAAUAUUAUUUCUUACUCUUAUUAAUUUAUUAACUCAUAAUCAAUUAGUAGUAUUUAGAAUAAUAUAUGUUGUUAUUAAGUGCAAUAGUAUUUUUACGAUAACAAAAAUAUCAUAAUUAUAAAUAAUAUUCAACAAAACAAAUAAUAUAAGGUAAUAGAAGAAUAGAAUAGGUCGCCUAAAAAGAAGAAGAUCAAUAGAAUGGGUUAUAUAAAACACCUAAUUAAUAAAUAACAUUUUAUAAAAUUUAAAAAAUUGAUUAUCUAAUUAUAAACACAAACCUUUUUAAAAAAUUAUAAACAUGAAUACAUUUGAAGUUAAAUAUUAAACAUAUACACGUGUAAUUAGGCUAAUCAAUUCGUAAAAUAUAAAUUCAUAUAACUAAUUGAUAAAUUAUUAGAUUUAUUUACUAUAAUUAUUAUUGUAGAAAAUAAAAAUAAAAAUAGAAUUUGUUAGAGAGAAAAAUAAAUCUAAAUUUAUAAUUAGAUAAAAAUAUAAAACAGAAUGUAUUGAUAUCUUAUUAUAAUUAAUCAAUUAAAUUGAAAUUGAUUGUAUUUUAAAAUGGUGAGAUUGAUUAAUAUUCAUUGAAAUAUGUGUGUAGUCAAUCGGCACGUACAGAUCAAAACUCGAAUGUGCCAUUUCAUUGUUUAUUGUACUCGAUAUCCAAUUGGCCCUGGGACUUGGAUAUGGACUGGAUAUAUAAUAUAUAUUCAGCACGAGGGACGAAAUAUUUUAGUACUAGCAGGUUUAAUUUAAUUUGUAUCCCGCAAUAGUUGAAUUUUUAUGGUGUAUUAACUGCAUGUGAUUUUUACGUUUAAGUUAGUGUCUAUAGGAGAUUAAAUUAAAUAUGUGAAAAUCGGAGAUUAUAUUUGAGUUUUUUUUAUAUAUAGUAGUCUGCUUAUACUAUUCUCUUUUAUUAUAUUUGAUUAAUGUAUAUGUGAAAAUCAGAAAUUCGAAUUUUUGUCAUUUUUCUCCUUAUCCCAAUAUUAAAAACUAAAAAAAAAAGUAUAUUUAUACAAUUUUUCCUUUUUAUUCAUUCAACAAUGCAUCACAUAGGUCCCAAAGUCAGAACCUGUUGUUCUAAUACCAUGUUAGAUUUUAUUUUAAAACCAAUUGGCAUGCCCAACAAGUAUAUAAGCUGUACUCCAAGGAUUGAAGCAGCCGAUGUAGGACUUGGGUAUUUUUCCAAUAAGAACUUGUGUGGUUAAAGCUGAUGAAAAUGUGUAAUGUGUAGGAAAACUUGAAGGUACACCACAAAAUAUACGUUGUCCUCAUUAUGCUUGAUCGGACGAAUUGCAAAUCCCAAUCAUUCUAAAAUGAAACCAUCUCAUAACUUCAAUUAUCAAUUUAAAACUAAGUAAUUGCUUAUAUGAAUCGUUCAACUCUUGAGAAGAAAAAAAGAUUGGAAUAUAGAAAUUAAGAAACAAGUGGGAAGCCUAUCACAGUUUCAAAAAAAAUAAUAAUACCAGAGAUGCAUGAUUUAUCAAAAUGGCGUUAGAUAACCCAAUUGCGUGACCUUUUAGUGAAUGUUCUAAUUUCAGUUCAAAAUGUGAUUACAAAUUCUGAAAUAAAUCUAAUGGUUCAUAAACUUAGUUAUGUAAAAAGAAAUGUUUGGAUGCUUUUGUAAACUUUAUUUUGCUACAAACGUUCCUUUACAACUGAAAAACAAACAUGCAUUUAGUUUUCCUAAUCAUGUCAAUUGUCAUCCCAUUGUUCAAUUGCAUGAAUCUGCCAUUGAGUUUCAGAAAGCAUGACUAGCAGUUAGAGAAGAGAUAGGAGAGAGAAAAUAUUGGUAGGAAAAAUAGAAAAAGAGUGUUUUAUUUUCUUAAAAAAAUUAAACAGUAAAUUAUUAUAAUGUCCCAACUUUAAAUUUAUAACAGCAAAAAGAAAGGGAUGAUCUUUUUGUCUAAAAUUUUUAGUAUAGGAUGCUAACACACACUAACUGAAAAAAGGGUGAGUGUAUAUUAGUAAACCCAUAUAAAUAUGCUGAGUCAUAUUCUCAAUCCAAACCACACAGAAGGGAACGAAUACGCACGGACAAAGGAGGCACAGAAAAAAAAAAUCAUGCAUAUAAAAUUUUAUAGUUUGAUUUUUUUUAACCUACCCUACAAAUAAACUUGUCUAGAUGUCACCUACACAUUAAGAGAUUAUCAGACUAUAAAAAAUUAUAUUAUCUAACACAUAAAAUUUUAAAAUAAUGAAAGAUAGAAAAAAAAUUCUACAUCUUCUUGAUGAUAUUUUAUGUAUUUAACCACUCCAACUAAAAUAGUCUAACUUUACCCGAGUCAUACCAAUAUGGUGCGAUGCCAUAUAUAUUUUUUAAAGUAUAAGUUUUGUUAACAUUUGUAAUUGUAUAUUAAUUAUUAAUUAAUAAUAAUAAUUUUAUUUAUAAUAUUUUUUAAGAGUCCACAAAUAUUUUUCACAGGAGACACGCUCAAAUCAAAUAGAAUCUCAAUUGAUCACAAUUUUUUUUUCUUUUAACUGUUUAAUGCAACUACAUAAUAAGAAUUCUCACUAUCUAAUCCUUGUGUGCUUUACCAGAAAAAAGGAUGUUAUGGAGCAAUUUGAACCAAUUGAAGCAUGACAUGGGUGAUGGGCUGUGGUGCUUGGUGGGAGAUUUCAACAUAGUCUGGCUAUCAAAAGAACGGAGGGGGAGGAGUGCUUCAUCUUCACAAGGAGGUACAUAAAUUAGAGAAUUUAAGGAGUUUAAUGAUAGUUUGGAGUUGUUGGAUGUGCCACUGGUAGGGAAGCGGUUUACGUGAUUUAGUGGGAGGAAAGCAGUGAGCAGGAUAAAUAGGUGUCUAGUAAAUAUAGGAUGGUUGCAGAUGUGGCCAAAAUCAACCCAAUAUGUACUAGAUCACUAUAUCUUAUUCUUAAGCCUGUUCAUCAGGGCCCAAAUCCUUCAAGGUACUUAAUUCUUAGUUCUCUCACCCUUAUUUCCUUAAUUUUGUAAGAGAAACUCUAUUUAAUUUCUAGGUGGAGGGUUGAGGAGUACUAACUCAUUGGCAAAUGUACAAAAUUAUCACAAGUAAUAAAGUAAAAUAGAAAUUCAAGUGUCAAGUCCACAAGAACUUUGUACAUAGAUCGGUGCAAAACCAAUUUUCAAGCAAUAGAAGAGAUAAAAAAUUGAAAGUAAAAAGUUAAAAAGAAAGUAAAAGGCAAGAAAAUAAGAAAAAUAAAUAAUAAUUUGAAUGUUGAAGAUGAUUUCAAAAUGUAAAUAUGUUGGGGCCUAGCAUGCCAAAACUAUUUGUGAUACAAUGUUAAUAAUUUCUCUCUAUAUAAUGUUAUCUUGGUUUUUACCUGCAUCUAUUAUGUUACUCUAUCUUUGGUUUCCCGCAUGAAGAACUUAAUUUAUCUAUUUUCUCUCCCAAAUUCCUUUGCAAAGAUUAAAUAGUCGCAUUAAGAAUAAAGAUGUAUGAAGUAGGCUAAACAAACAUCACUCUAUCCUAGACAUGAUUUUAUUUAGAUGUCAUUUUAGAUUCUCUAAAAAAUAACCAUUUUCCGAUGCAUUACUUCCUAAAUAAUACAUGAGCAUUGCUGAUCAAACCACAAUCAAUAGCAAUAAAGCAUAGAAAAGAAUAAUAAAAAUUGGAAUUGCUUUAAAUAGACAGUAAGAAAGAGUUACAUUAGAAGAGUUUGGCUUGCCAGGCUCCUAACAAUUGGGGUUUAGCCUCUUAUUGUCAUAAGAGUCUUUACACUUUAAGGGUUGAUCGGGAUAGAAGAAGAAAAUGGAUGGAUAAAGGAGAAGUGAAGAAUGGCUAUAGAAAGAGGAUUUUCCUUAUUAGAGAUGCUUGUGCUUUGAGUGUAUUUAAUAGAGAGCUUUGAGUCUCGGUGUGACUUUUAUUUUUGCUUCCUACUCUUUUUAGAAGACUAAGGUAGCUUAAAAUCCAAGCGACCUCGCGUGCUAAACACGUCUUUCUAGGCUUAGCAGGUAUGACGAUGAUUACGAGCUAAGCACGACGACAUCUAAGCUUAACGAGUAUGGCAGUGAUCACGCACUUAGCGCGGGAUUCGCGCUAAGCGCGCCAUUGGACUUCUUCGUGGGCUUUCUUCACACUAAGCUUGUGCUGUUGAGCGAGUUGACGCGUUGGGCCUAUCUUAUGCGCUAAGCGAGUUGUCUCAAUCUUCAACUUUUUCUUCAAGGCUUUUUUAUCAAGUUUUUCAUCAAUUUUUCCUCCAAAGCACUUGUAAUUUCCAUAUUUUGAAUCUCGUUGUUCAAAAAAUUAAAAUGCUAUUAAAAUCCUCAUUAUUCCCUUAAAAACAACAAUAAAAUAGAGGAAUUCUAAUCAUUCUUAGUCAAAAUUAACUAUCAAUUAAACCAAAAUUUCGUAGUUAUCAAGGAGCAUUUGUAUUGAAAAAAAAGCUUAAGCAUCUAAAACGAAGUUGAAGAACUGGAGUAAGAUUAACCUUGGUGACUGUUAACUCAUUGGCAAGUGUACCAAAUUGUCACAAGUAGUAGAGUAAAAUGAAAGUUCGAGUGUCGAGUCCACAAAGACUUUGUUUGUACUUAGAUUGGUAUACCCAAUUUUUAAGCAAGGAGUAGAAGAGAUAAGGAAUUGUAAGUGAGAAAUAAGAGGAUAAAAGUAAAAGAUAAGAAAACAAGAAAAAUUAAACAAUAACUUGAAAGUGAAGGAUGAAUUCAGAAUGCAAAUGUGUUGGGGCCUAGCAUGCCAAAAUUACUUGUGAUACAAUGUUAAUAAUUUUUCUCUAUUUAAUGUUAUCCAGUUUUCACCCACAUUUACUAUGGUACUUUAUCUUUGGUUCCCCGCAUGAAGAGACUAAUUUAUUUAUUUUCUCUCCUAAAUUCCUUUGCAAAGAUGAAAUAGUAAAUCAGAUUAAGAUUAAAAAUGCAUGAAAUAGGCUAAACAAACAUCACUCUAUUCCUAGACAUGGUUUUAUUUAGAUACCCUUUCCCAGUUCUUUAGAAAAUAACCAUUUUCCAAUGCAUUACUUCCUAAACAAUGCAUGAGUAUGGGUGAUCAUACCACAAUCAACAACAAUAAAGCACAUAAAAGAACAAUAAAAACCAGAAUUGCAUUAAAUAGAUAGUAGGGAAAAAUUACAUUACAAGAGUUUGACCACUAGGCUCUCAACAAUGGGGGUUUAGCCUCUCAUCAUCAUGAGAGGCUUUAAACUUUAAGGGUUGAUGUGGACGAAAGAAGAAGAGGGAUGAUGGAUAGAGGAGGAGAAGGGGAUAAUGAAUAUAGAAAGAGAAUUUCCCCUAUUUGAGCUAUUCAGGCUUAAGAUGUAUUCAUUAUAGAACUCGAGUCUCGGUGUGUCCUACUCCUUUUAUAGGUCUAAGGUAGCUUAAAAUUCACGCGACCUCGCACUAAGCGGACCUUCUAGGUUUAACGAGUAUGCCAGUGAUCAUACACUUGGCAUUCAUGCUUAACGCGCCUUUAGGCUUCUUUGUGGGCAUUCUUCACGCUAAAUUUGUACUGGCCCAAUCUAUAACUUUUUCUUCAAAGUUUUUUCUUUAAGUUUUUGCAUCAAUUUUUCCUCAAAAGCACUUGUAAUUUCCUUCUUUUGAAUCUUGCUGGUAAAAAAUUAAAGUGAUAUUAAAAUACUCAUUAUUUCAUUAAAAAUAAUAGUACAAUAGAGGAAUUUUAAUCAUUCUUAAUGAAAAUUGACAAUCAAUUAAACCCAAAUUUUGCAGUUAUCAGUGACCUGGAGACUAGGAGGAGCCAAUUGAUCACCUUGAUUGGUGAUUUAGAUAGAAGGGACAUAAAAGGCGAUUUAUCUAUUCAAGAAGUAAAGGAAAAAAGCAACCUUAUUGAGGAAUUCUGGGUGGUAUCAAGGAUAUUCAAAUUUCUCUUGCAUAAAAAAUAUAGAAUCAAGUGGCUAAAGGAGGGAGAUGCAAACACUCAUUACUUCCAUUUUGUGGGAAUUGGUGGAGGAGAACUAAUAAUAUGAAAGGGCUUUCAAUUCAAGGGAGAUGGGAGGAAGAUCCUAAAAAGGUAAAGGAGGAAGUCAAAAGUUUCUUUGUACAUAAAUUUAAGGAGGAAGAUCACUUGGAGGUUUCCUUGGAUGGUGUCUUGUUCAAAUCUUUGCAUUGGAAGAUAACAUCAUAUUAUCAAAGGAGUUUUUUUGAAAAGGAGAUUAAAAUAACUAUCCGGGAUUGUGAUGGUAACAAGUGCCCGGGUCCUGAUGGAUGCAAUUUUCGAUUAUAAAGUCUUGUUGGGAGUUCUCAAAGGUGAAUAUUCUAAGGGUCAUAAGGGAGUUUCAUGGCAAUGGUGUUUUUCCACGUUGCACUAAUGCGACUCUUUUUGCUAUUCAAGAAGGAUAACCCACAAGUUUGGGCAAAUAGAAACCUAUAUCUUUUGUGGGAUGCUUGCACAAAAUUAUGACCAAGGUUUUAUCUAUCAAGCUCAAGGGUGUGUUACCAAAGAUUAUUGAUAAGUCUCAAACAAUGUUUAUAGGUGGAGGAAUAUGUUAGAUGGAGUUGUAGUGGUGAAUGAGGUUGUUUAGGAAGCCAAUCUUAGAAAGAGAUUGUGCUUAGUCUUCAAAGCAGACUUUCUAAGGCAUACGAUUGUGAGGUGGGAUUUCCUAUAUUACAUGAUGAGGAGGAUGUGAUUAUGUUCAAAGUGGAUUCAUUGGAUAAAAGGAUGCAUGGAGUCCUUUUCUAUGUUUGUCUUAGUUAAUGAAAGUCUAACAAAAGAAUUUAAGAAUUAAAAGGGGUUAAGAUAAGGAGUUUGCUGGCACCUUUUCUCUUUCUCAUGGUAGCAUAUGGUUGUAAUAGUCGUAUCUUUUGGGUUUUUCAUUUAAAUAAAAUAAAUAAAUAACUAAAUUAGGUCAUCAAUUCCCUCAUUAUAUCAAUUAACUUUUAACCUAGAGCAGCUUUUACAAAAACACCUUAUGUUCUUUUUUCCUUCUUCUGACGCACAAGAACCCUAACAGAGCAACCGGAGGAGGAGCUCUAGAGAGCACUAGAAACGCCACCAUUGCUAACAGAGAACGCUUGAGCAACUACAUCGAGGUAAGAGAUGAGUUACUUACGUUUGGGAAUUAGAAUGAAUAUGUAUAGGGAUCUCUAGAGAAUCAAUUUUGGGUUAUUUUUAUAAAUUUUUAAUUCAUGAACCCUUUCCAAUUGAGUAUUUCAUAUGCUAAAUUGAGUGUGAUAUCUAUUAUCAUAAACUUCUAUGAUUUUGUUUGUUUAGUGUAUAUUGACAUAAUAUUUUAUUGAAGCAGGUGAAUUUUUGUCAAAUUAUUAUCACUUGAUUUUUGUGUAUAUUAAGGUUUACGAUUUGUUUUUGUUUUACGCUUGUGCAUUUACCACUGUUUUCAAAUUGUCAAUAAAUUGCUAUCACUCGAAUUAAAGGUUUUGCCCAAACAAUUGUAUUCCUUUGGAUUGCAAUCAAAAUUUAUGUACCACACGUACUGUACCAAUUUGUUGAAAUACAAUAUAUAUCUCACUUAUGAUGCUAACCACGUAUAGUUUUUUUGCAAAUAUAUAUAUAUAUAUAUAUAUAUAUAUAUAUAUAUAUAUAUAUAUAUAUAUAUAUAUUCUAAAAAAAUAUAGAAAAUAUUAAUAAUAAAUAAAAUAAAGUUAUAGAAAUUAUUGCUUAAUAGUGAUUAUUUUUGCUAUAUUUUAAAAUAAUUGUUGUAGAAGUUUUUUUUAAUUGAAAAUAAUAUAGUUCGAUUUAAUUUAUACAUAUUUUGUGCCAUGUAAAUAUUACUACCGAGUGAUAUGUGCAUGAUUCAUGAGAAGUGAUAAAUUGUUUUAUUGUGAUUAUGAAAUUGUGAUUGAGAUUGUGUGUAAGUGAUAACUAUUUGGUAUGUAAUGAAUUGUGAAUUGCACGAGUGUAGAGAUGUUGUAUGUAUUGAAUUGUGAGUUAUGAAUUAUGCAAUUAUACAACUGUAAGACCCUUUAAGGGUGACGAGUUAAUGUGCGAUGAGUUGUGAUGAGUUCCAUGGUGGGAACCUGACGAGUUUAAUCACUUAAGGCGCGAUGAGUUAAAAUAAUUGAGAUUUUGUAAACAAUUGAGUAGUUGUGUGUAUGCAUAAUUCAUAAGUAGAGUCCGUGUGUUAAAAUAUUUUUUAGGUUGGACCUGAAUCAGGAGGGAGAGACCCUGAUGGACUACUCGGAGUCUAGGCCUUGGAAGUAAAUAUACUCGAUUUGAGUACUCCUUUAAGCCUGUGUUGAUCCCACAUGGUUGAAGCAUUCUCGCAAAACAAAGUGACUCUGAGUUGUCUCCCUAUGAUUUCAUUUAAUGAGAGUGACCUAACUUACCCAUUGUGAGGCAUGCCACGUCAUGUACUCCUAGGCGUCCAAUGAGGUUUUUCACUGAAAAAUGGUAUCACAUUGCAUAUAUGCUUGAGUCUAGUGUAUUUGUAGCAUAACGCUUGCGUUUGACUUUCAUUGAGUUAACAAUUGCGGUUUGAUGUUAUUUUCUGGAGUGUGUGAACUUGAGUGAGUGUGAAUAAUGUGUGUCUUUUUGUGAAGCGAUGUUGUUUAUAUAAAUUCAGCUCUAAGUAUUAUAUGUUUCACAUGCUCUAGUGUUUUAUUAUACAUGAAUGUGAUAAUUAAUUCCCGGUGUGUGUUUGUGUUUGGGUUGAAUGCCAUUUUGUUUCAGGUGAGCCAACAUAUGAUGAGUUCCAUGCUGGAGAUGGAGAGGUUUAAUCUAUGCCAGAGAAAUGCUAUGAUAAAUGUGACAUCGGGACAUAAGAUUUUAUUUCAUAUUUAUAAUUUCAAGAAUAAUAUAGUUAUUUUAUGUUUUCCACUUUAGUGUGUCUUCUUUUCAUUCAGAAUGAGUAGCCUCAUUUUGAGGCGAGAUGAUUUUAUUAGUAUUUGAACAAGUUCUAUUAUGAUUUCACUAUACGAAUGUGAACAUUUCACCCUUUUGAAAUGUUUUUAUUUAAAUGUGUUUUAAAAUUUUCAAUUAAUUACGCAUUCUUAUCCUCUUAUUAUAUAUAUAUAUGUGUGUGUGUGUGUGUGUGUGUGUGUGUGUGUGUGUGUGUGCUGAUGACCCUCUUUUCUUGGGAGAGCCUGCCAUGAGGGAUGUAUUAUCCUUAAAAUUCAUGCUCAUAAUGCUUUGAGUUAGUCUUGGGAUGAAUAAUAAUGUCGACUUUAAAAGACAUACUCUGCCUCCAAAUGAGAGAUAUUUGUGAUGCCAUGCUGCCAACCUCUUCCGGAGUUUGUUCAACACUGGUUGCCAAAAGCUCUCUUUCCUAGGAUUCCCCCCAACCGACAAGCCCAAAUAAAUAAAUAGUAGAUGUUGGGUAAUCAAUUCUUCCUCAAAUAAAAUUACUCACUCUCACAUAAGAUCGUGAGAAUACAACAAAGAUUACACCGUAGAAAAAAUAAUAACAAACACAAGAAUUUAAUCUGGUUCGACACCUCUUGCCUACGUCCACGGAAUCGUCUCAAAGUAUUUCACUAUCACAGAAAUGAUUACAAGAUUGUAACUCAUCCCAAUGGUUGGAGGUCUUGUGUGUGUGUGUAAUGGUUCCCUUAAAGUUUCACUCUUGCAGUUUGCUGAUGACCCUCUUUUCUUGGGAGAGCCUACCAUGAGGGAUGCAUUAUCCUUAAAAUUCAUGCUCAUAAUGCUUUGAGUUAGUCUUGGGCUUGAAGGUAUUUUUUCAUAAAAUCCAUAUAGCGGGGAUUGGAGUAUCGGAAGGAGUCAUCCAAAGGUCAGCAAUGGUUUUAAAUUGUCAAAUCAUGAGUCUACUAUAGAGUUUCAAGCCAAAAAAUAAGGUGCAUGCAUAUUGGAAAUUGAAUUUUUAUCACUAAGGUUUAGGUGACUUAAAUGCAAAGUGAAAGAUUGUAUUUUACUAGAUGAACCUUAGUUGAAUGGAUGCAUUGACAGUUUUUUUGUUUCAACUUCCAAGAUAGCUUAUUUAUUAUAGUUGGUGACAAUCUUCACUAUAAUAGAGAAGAUAAUUAGUGGAGAAACAACACAUGAAGAGAGUAUGUGUGAGAAGAAAGAUUGUGAAACAAAAUCACUUUGGUGAGAGAAAAGUAUCUUUGUGUGAGAGUGUUAUCAUUUCUUGUAACCAUUGAGUGAGGUACUCGAGUUUGUAGAGUAAUACAUUAUUUGGGAUGAGUUACAAUCUUGUAAUCAUUUUUGUGAUAGUGAAAUACUUUGAGACGGUUCCGUGGACGUAGACAAGAGGUGCCGAACCAGAUUAAAUUCUUGUGUUUGUUAUUAUUUUUUCUACGGUGUAAUCUUUGUUGUAUUCUCACGAUCUUAUGUGAGAGUGAGUAAUUUUAUUUGAGGAAGAAUUGAUUACCCAACAUCUACUAUUUAUUUAUUUGGGCUUGUCGGUUGGGGGGAAUCCUAGGAAAGAGAGCUUUUGGCAACCAGUGUUGAACAAACUCCGGAAGAGGUUGGCAGCAUGGCAUCACAAAUAUCUCUCAUUUGGAGGCAGAGUAUGUCUUUUAAAGUCGACAUUAUUAUCCAUCCCACUAUUUUUCCUCUCUAUUUUUAAGGCACCUAGCAAAGUCACUAGUAAGAUAAUUUAUCUUCAAAGGAAUUUCUUGUAGGGGGGCUAAGGCGGGAGGACCGUAAAAUGUGUUGGGUUAGUAGGAAAAAUGUGUGUUUAAAGACAAAGGUGGCAUAAACAUCAAGGAUGUAGAGAGCUUUAACAAAGCAUUGUUAUCUAAAUGGUUGUGGCAGUUUAUAAAUGAGGACAAUGCACUGUGGGUGAAAAUUAUUAAGGAAAUGGGAAACGUGGGGAAGAUGUGUUACAUAAUCCAAAGUCGUUAUGAUGGUGGAGAGAUGUGUGUUCUGUGUGUCAUAGUGGAGCAUCUAGGGGAUGGUUUUGGAGCAGAGUGAAGAGAGAACAUAGGAGUGGUGAACGUAUUAUGUUUUGGGAACAUUUGUGGGUGGGGAAGGAACUGUUAAGUGUGAGAUUUAAUAGACUUUAUGUGAACUCUACAAAAAAAUUGCUAUAUUACAGGUAUGGGAUAUUGGUUUGAUGGAGGGUGGGAAUGGUCUUUGAGGUGGAGAAGGUCCUUUUUUGAGUGGGAGGAGGAACUUGUGAUAGUGCUUAUGCGUGAGUUGAGUGGUUCAAUGCCAAAGAGAGAGAUAGAGUCGGGAUUCUUGGGCUUGGGAAGGGGUCAAUUCAAAAGUUUUGUCAGGGAAGCAUGCUUGUGUGUGCAACCUUUGUGUGAUCAAUAUGUACCUUCUUCGUUUUACAGGCAGAUUUGGAAACUACCAAUUCCAUCCAAGCUUAGUUUGGUUUAGAGAGCUUCUCUAAAUAGAAUUUCAACAAAAGAAAACCUUAUCAAUAGGGGCGUGUAGCUUGAGGAAGGACAACAACUUCGUUGCUUCUACUAUCAGGUGGUGGAAACAACAACACAUCUCUUUUUCUCAUAUCAUUUUGCUCUAUUAGUCUGGCGGUCAUGCUACUCAUGGUUUGGUGUUUCUUUAGCUCUACCAGAUAUGUUGGAGAUGCUCUUUUUGCAACAUAGUGGUCUAUUGAAGGGAAACAAAGGAAAGUUGUUAUCGUGGGGGGUCUAAGAAACUGUUAUAUGGUCAUUGUGGUGCCAUAGGAACAACAUAAUAUUUAAUAAUGUCCAAACCAAUCUUGGUAUUGUUAUAGAGAUGGUUGUUGUUAGAUUGUGGAUGUGGCUCAAGGUGAAGGCAAAAAGAAUUUUCUGCUUCAUAACCUAGCUGCUCUUUGAAUCCUGCAUUUCCUAUGUAGCUCUAAAGUUUGUUUGACGGUAAUGUUCUGCUGUAUGGAAUGAAUAACAAGUAUCUGUUAACAAUUUGGAUAUACAUAGCCUUAGUGAUCAUUGGAUUAGCUCGGAUAGAAGUGUCCAAUUUGAGUUAAACGACUUCAGAUUGGGGGAAUCACGGUCUUGGGGGAUGGUUCAUUGUAUCAACUAUGGGAUUUAUUUUGGAAUUUUACAAUAGUUGGUUGGCUUCAGCAAUCACAUGUGGUAUUUUUUUUAGAUUAGAGACCACGAUAUUUUUUAAUCUAUUAGGUCAUAAAUUAAUUUUGUUCGUAAUACGUAAUUAUUAUUGUCUUUAAAGAAUUUUAUAUAACGUGAGAAUUAAAUAUUAAUUUUCUCGUUAAAUAAUUUUUAUUCUUACUCAAAUGAAUAUCAACCUCUAGAUUAUAUCUUAUCUUUUUCUAAUAAUAUAUAUUUAUUUAAUUAUUAAAAAAAUAAUUUAAACUUGAGAUUUACGAUGAAACUUAAAUAAUUCUUAUCAAUUGAUUCACACAUUUAAUAAUUUAUUAGAUAAUAUUUUAUAAAAUGUGAUUAUAUAUAUAUUUAUAUUAAUUUAUUUGAUUUGAAAUAUAUCUUGUAAAAUAUAUUUUAAUUUAUACUUUAUACUUCUUUUAUUUUACGAUUUAAUUAUACACCGUGUAAAGAUUAAUAUAUAUCAAGUUAAUGAAUUAAAUUGAUACGGCAUUAUUCCAUAUAUAUUAUCAGGUAUUGAUUGUCUGAAUUCAAAUUUAAAUAAAUGACCCUAUUAUAAUUUCAAGUUGGAUAAAAAUAAAGAUAUAACCGUCAUACAGCACUGAUCAAUAAUACUAGGAUACCAUAUAUAUUUUCUUAUUUUAUUUCUAAAUUUUUCUUUUCCCCGAAAUUAGAAGGUCGAAGUUGAACGAGUAAAAAGGUGCAAUAUUGUGAUAACCUCAUUCCAUUUGUUUUGUUUAAAGUUUGAACAGUUCUCGCGUUUCUCUGCAACCAGUGUUCCAAUGAGGCAAUGACCAAUGACGUGCCUUGCUGGGCAAUUAAGGCGUUGAAUGAAUACAACAGUAUUUUGUUUGGUUUGUGUAGUUAUUAGUCAGGACUCUGUCAAAACUGUGGCUUUGCAUUGUGCCUGACUUGUGUUGGAUAGACUUUGAUACAAUACAAUUUACAUAUUACAUAUAUAACCUGUGAAGUUUUUUAAUGGAUUUAAUUUUGACUUGUUAUUCACGUAAUAUUUGUUGAUCAAAGUUAUUUUCUUUCGUUUUAUAUAAUUGCACUCAAUUAUGCAUGACAUUUUGGUAUAUCAGUACAUAAAUAAGUUACUUCCUUUAAUUUUUAAUUUGUAUAAUGUUGUUUAAGGUUAUAGUUCUUUUUGAAGAAAUUUAAGGUUUUAUAUAGUUAAUAGAUUUUCACGAGCUAAAAAUUCCUUGAGGACUUUGAUUAUAAAUCAGAAAUUGCGAAGAAGAAAGUGACCAUAAGCCUGACAGUUUUAAGAUAUUUUGUCCAGUUUUGCAAAAUAAAUCUUUUUAAUGUUUAUAUAUCAAGGACUGGUCAAUUUUUUGACACUUUUGUUUUGUUUGCUUCAGCACUCAGAAUUUUUUUAUUCGUGGUCAUACUUCCAUUUUUAAAAAUAAAAUCAGCUUGUUUAUAAAAAAUAUCAACUGAAUCUGAGAUGCCAUUUUCUCAAAUUUUAUACAAAAAAUAAAAAAUUUCAUUUUUUGAUAUAACAAACUCACAGGUAUCAAUUAAUUUGAAUUUUUUUAUGUAAAUAAUUAAUUAUAGUUUUUUCAUAUAUAUGAAAAACAAUUAAUAAUAUUAAUUUAGGCCCAAUUUUUGUUGCCGAAGAACAGCAUGUUCUAUCUCUAAAAUAAGGUAAUUUAGAAUUAGUCUUACCAGUCACGGUAAAAUUUAAUUUUGCAUCCACUGAAUAUCAAUGGUUCAAUUUCAAAGCCUCAAUUUAAUACCCAAUCAGCGCCCCAAAAGAAGCUAAUCUCUCUUCUUUUAACUUUAUUCUUAAAACGAACCUUAUCCAAUACCUGGAAUAAAAUCAAUGUCUCCAUUUUCUCUUUUAUGACUAAUCUCAUCAAUUAACAAAAACACUUCCCGAUAUUUUUUGAACAAGUUAAUUCUUUUACUUGAAUAUUACUCACUUUAAUCUUUUUUUUUAUAAGACCAAUACACUAAUUCAUAAAAUAGGAAGAUAAUUAAAUAAUUUAGUGAAUUCACGAUAAAUUUGUCCUAAAAUAAUACUAUAUUUUUCCAAAAUUAUUACAACAUAAAUGAGACAUUCUUUUUUAUUUUAAUUCCUUUAAUAUCCUUUAUCAUUAAUUAUUAUUGUUUUAACUUUUAUUUGAAUUAUUCUUUUUUAUAAAAAGGACUAAUCCAAAAUUUUAAUUUAGUAAUUGUAAAAAAAUCUAAGGAAUAUUCUUCAAUGAAAGAAAGAGAAUCAUGUAUUGGUGUGAAAUUAUUUUAAUCUAACGUUUUUUGAGUUCAAUCUUAUUCUAGAUAUACAACUAUCUGCGAUAUUUAGAGGAAGAGCGUAAAUAAUUUAUUCGAUUCAAAUAAAAGUAUAUAUGACAAGCAAGCAAUUAUAUUAAAUAUUUAAAAAUAAUUUAACUAUUCAAUUUAUUUAAUUUUCCAUAAAUUAUACACGUCAUGAAGAAAAAAUAAAUCAAAGGAAGAGAAGAAAAAAGAACCCGAAACAGAGUUUUAUAUAUCCCACAGAGAAAGAAACGCAUGAAUUUUAGAAUUGUUAUUACAGAUUUCGUAUUCUGUGUGACGCGGUAGACGGUAGUCAUUGGUUUGUAAGAGAGCACCACCCACCCCAUCCCAUAAUAUAAAUCCGUGCUUAACACUUCAUCAUAAAUUCGCACUUUCUAGAAACCAAAGCAAAGUUCCCUGUUUCACUUUCUGUUCUGUUUUGGAUAUUUCUCAACAUAACCAAACCAAAGCGUUUUACUAUUUUGUUUUCUAGUUUCCUCCAUCUCCCUCCCAUACUCACCUUCUCUCUGGUCAGUUUUCCUUCUUUUCCACCUUUUUCAGUUUUUAUUCUCAAACAAAACAAACACGCCAACACGGGUUUCUGUUACAAGAGUUUUUUAAAAAAAGAAAAAAAAAAAUGAAAAUAAAUUUAUUGUUCCCUUGUUUUCUUUCUCCAUAUGCUUGUCUUUCGUUUCUUUUAGUUUUUAGCGUGUCUUUGUUUCUGGACUUCGUUUUGUUGGUUUAAGGUUAAAGCGUCAGCGUGUUGUCUUUCCUUAAAUGUCGAACAAAGCAGGGUUGGCUUGAGUUUUCUUCAAGACUUAGUUUAUCAAAGAAAGGAAGAGUUAGAUAGAUUAAGAGAGAGAAAGAGUUGUCAUUGUUUGUUUUUGUUUAUGUAACUAUGUGUUGAGUUGGAAACAUUAUUAUUGGCUUUGUUAAAACAGAGAAAUUGUUGUCGAGGAGAUAAAAAUAAGACCGUUAGACUGAGAGUUUUGCGGGAGAAAAAAAAAACAAGACUUUGACUCUUAGCUGUUGAGAUAAUUUGCCUUUCAAUUCUCUUUCUUCUUAGUUAUUAACCUCAAUAAUUUCUCAACUUCUCUUUCUCUGCUCCUUUGUUUUUUCCUCAUCUUAAUUAGUUCUCAUUGUAAGAGAAGCUGAAACUCCUUCAAUCUUUUUCUUUUCCUCUGACACCAUGAUUUUCGAUGAAGGGUCAAUGCAAUCUAAGUCCAACCUUGACUGCUUCCUCCGGCGUACGACACCUGUUGUGCCGUCUCAGUUUCUUCCCAAGGUGCUACUUUUUGCCUUUGUUUUGUUAAUUUUUGUUUUCUGCUUGGUUCAUUGUGUUUUGUGUUUUUUUUUCGUUGUGAUCCUAAGUUUUUGUGUUUUUCUUUCUGACAGCACGAGAUUCGAAACCUUAACCGAUUGUGGCACCCGUGGGAGAGAGAAGCUGUUGAGUACUUCACUUUGGGUGAUCUAUGGAAUCGUUUCCACGAAUGGAGUGCUUAUGGAGCUGGAGUUCCCAUCACGUUGUCCAAUGGGGAGACACUUGUUCAGUACUAUGUUCCUUACCUCUCCGCAAUUCAGAUAUUCACCAGCAACACUUUCAGGUAUGUUUUACAUAUAUGCACAUGAAGAUAAUCUAUAUCAGUUUUGUGGGGGUUGUUGUUCAAUUUUUUGUAGUUUUGAAUCAAAUCAUGGCCUGAGGGUAUUCGUUGAUGUAAGAAUAGUCAUAUAAGCAUAUUUUUAUCACCAAAUGGGAUAUUUGGUACCCAAUGGAUAUGAUUCGGUUGGCAACACACACGGCAAGGAGCUGUAUUCAAUUUCUACCUAAUAUAUCUUCAGAUGAAACUUUUUAAGUGUGACCAAGAAUUAGUGAGGAGAAUCUGAAUUUACAGAACACACAUUUAGAAGGAAUUUAAGUAUGACUGAAUUUCGGGUAAAAAAUUAGUCCUAUAACAGGUUUAAAGGGCCGAAGCUUUAGAAAUACCUAGGAGUUCUACCUGAGAGUCAAAAACUCCAAUUAUGUAGCUUAAAAAAAUGACUCUUUGUAUCAAUGUUCUUAUGGUCAUAGUUCUAUGAUACCUGUUGAUUAGUUGUUUUUGUUUCAAGUGAUUUUGUAUAUUAUGGUUCAUGGUUCUGGACUUCAUGAUUGUUUGUAAAAAAAUAGUAAUAUCAAUCUUUGAUGAGAGGGAACAGGAUGCAUAGAUUUGAAUUGAGUGUUUGUUUCUUUCUUAUUCAGGGAAGAGACCGAGUCAGGUGAGUGUGAGACAAGGGAUUCGUACAGCGAUUCCUACAGUGAAGAGAGUGAGAGUGACAAACUAUGGAGGUGGGAUGGAACUUCGUCAGAAGAAGGAGGAUCUGAGCACGAUUGUUUGUGGCACAUGAAUGACCGAUUGGGUCACCUUUACUUCCAAUAUUUUGAAAGAUCAACUCCAUAUGGGAGAGUUCCUCUAAUGGAUAAGGUGCGUUUGUUUUGUUCUUGUUGGCCAUUUCUAACUUUUUUUUUUGCAGCUUUAUUAGUUAUUAGAUGUGCUGAAAGAAUUUCAUGAUUUUCAUCUAUAUCUGGAUUCUGAUUUUAGUGUUUCUAAUUAGAUGAGAAUCCACAGAUUAGGCAUAGGGAGGGAAUAGGGAAUGUUCUUUUUUAGAAGUUUGUAUUGUAAUCACCAAAAAUCUUUAGUGAUAGGGCAUCCAUAAAAGGUUAACUGUGACUUUUGACUUAUGAUCAUGUGAAUCCGGAGAACUCGUUUUUCUCUGUUCAUAAUAACUUGGCACUUCUUAGUCUAGUCUCUGCUAUCUCUUUCUUCUGUGGAACCCCCCGCCCCCACCUUCUUCAAUGUAAUUAAUUAUUAUUCUUAUUUUUAUACUUCUUGAGUGAGCAUAUGUUCUCCUUCCAAAAACCUUUGCUGAAUGUAGUUUUCACUUUUCUGUGUUUGGAUUCUUGUGAUCUAUCUAUAUAUUCAACAAAAAAAAUCCGUAAUUUAGUGUUUCAAUAGAUUAGCGUAUCUCCGCAGAAAUCUUUUGUAAAGCGUUUUAUCCAAUUCAAUGCCAUGACUUCCAGAAAUUGAGGGUAUAAAAGAAAUCCUUGAUGAUACAAAAAAACCGUAAUUUUCGCUUCAAUUCUUUGUAAAUAGAAAUUUAAAUAUUUGCAAGAUUAACUUUAUUACAAAAAUUUAAAGGCUUAAAAAUUAUAUAGUACCUCUGGGCCUCUUUCGUUUACCAUUGAAAUCAAUGUUUCUAACCGUGCACGCAUUUGAAGGCGACAUCUAUGAUUGAGAUUAAUUUGGACACACCUUCAAUUAUGUUCAAAACUAAUUCUCUCAAAAUUUUAUCUUAGAUUAGAACAAAUGGCACACUAUUGCUGACUAAUAUAUUUUUAACUUUCAGAUUACUGGCUUAGCAGAAAGAUACCCGGGGUUGAUGUCACUAAGAAGUGUAGAUCUUUCCCCAGCAAGUUGGAUGGCAGUUGCUUGGUAAUUAAUUUUCUCUCUCAUGUUAAACAUGUAUUUUUUUUUUUUUGGUCCUUUUUCUACCAAAUCACUGGUCCUUACGGUUAACUAAAUUUGGAAUUGAUUUCAACAAGUAUCCUUGAUGUAAGGAAUAUUCUAAUGUAUAUGAUCAAUUGAUGAAUAGAUCUUCCAUGGUUACUGUUUCCAGGUACCCCAUAUAUCAUAUUCCCAUGGGAAGAACAAUUAAAGAUCUCUCAACAUGCUUCCUCACUUUCCACACACUUUCAUCUUCAUUCCAAGGUGUUAUUAUUAUUAUUUCAUUCUCUAUCCAUAUGUCACACUACAUAAUUAUGUACAACUACUAUAUCAUUUUAACUUUUUCUGCGGAAAAGGAAAAAAAUCUUGAAAAUUCACCCCAAUAAAAACCGUAAAAUUUUGGAAAGAGAAUAUGCACUAAGUGGAACUUUUUUUUUUCCUUAUGUGUGUACUUGUGUUUUAUAGAUAUGGACCUUGAUGAUGAUACCGACGGAGCCCACGAGAAGAGAAAGGAAGGUGAAGGAAUUUCGCUGCCAGCAUUUGGUUUGGCCACGUAUAAGAUGCAAGGGAGUGUGUGGGUCUCAGGGAAUUGUGGUAGGGACCAAGAAAGACUAGUCUCACUAUUGAGCGUGGCAGAUUCAUGGUUGAAGCAACUAAGGGUCCAACAUCAUGACUUCAAUUACUUCAUGGGCGCUCGGCAUGGCUAGAACAAAUUAGUGCACACUACUUUGCAAAAUUGACCCCUAAAAAAUCCUUUUUUUUUGGAUAUAUAUUUUGUUGUUGUGCCCUUGCUUGGACCAUUAAUUGCACCCCUUUUUGUUGGCUUUUGAGUGUGAUGAGGAAUGAGGAUUUGUAGUACUUUGUAGUUGUUUAAUUGACCCUUUGAGAGCAUUUUAAUUAGGACACAAGCCCUUGUAAGGGUAUGUAACCGAUCAAAUGAGUUGACUCCUUUGUAUAUAGAGUGGUAGGUGAGGAGGCCAGAGUUAUUAUAAUUUACUAAGAUGAUGUGAGAGUGAGACUACAUAGAACUUUGAAACUUGGAUUGUGUAUGAUCACUUGCUAGUAUUGACCAAUGAUGAUGAUGACCAUUAUAGUUGAGACGUGGAAUGUUUCUGUAAAUGCCACCGAUCCACUGGCUCUUGUUUGCUAAUAGAUAAGCAUCACAUGAUACCAUGAACAUUUUUUUUUUUAUAAUAAUUGUUGUUUUGGGUUUGGCAUUGGUUUGGUAAAAAGGAAAAAGAGAGUUUAAGAAUGCAAUCUAGUGAGGGGAGAUGCAUGAGAAAUUGAAUGAACGGUUGGCCAUUUGCCAUGAAUGACAUGUAGGUUCUGAGCUUUUAUUUCCGCGUGGACCCAUCAUAGAAUAAGAAAAUGUAUCUAAUGCAUUGAUAUAGCACAUGGUCUAGCUUAAUUGUCCUUUUUCAUUUGAAGUGUUUAAUUGUGUUUUUAAGGGUGUUCAUGGUCGAUCAGUUUGAUUCAAAUUUGAAAGAAAAUUAAAUUAAAAUUAAUUUGAUUUCAAUUGGAUCGGUUUGAAUCUUAGAAUGUUUUUUUAGUCCGAACCAAACCAACUGGAUGAUAAAGAUAUAAUAUUGCUCUAGUAAAAGAGAAAGAGAAUGAAAAAAAUGAGUUCAAAUUCUCUUCUUAACAAAAACUAAAAACUAAUAAUUAAUGUUUGUUCAUAAAAAAAAUUACUAAUAUAAUUAUGAGUGGGCUGAGUCACGUAUAUUUGACAAAAAAUAAAAUCAAUUUUUUUAAAAAAAUAGCAUGGUUUUGUCCCAAAUUUGAUAAAUAAUAUUGUUAUAAAAUAAUAUAAGCAACAUAUUUAAAUGUGAUUAAUUAGAACAACUAAAUAAUAGCAUAAAUUAUAAAAAAAUAACACAUAAUUCAUUAAAUCAUAAAAGUCCAUCUCUAUAUAAUAAUAUAAAAGAAAUAAACUAAAUUAUUCAACAUAAAUUUUAAUUUAAAGGUAUACUAAAUUAAAACACAAUAAAAAGAUUUAAAAAACACACAAUUGAGCAUUAAAAUAAUAAUAAGUAUAUAAUUUGUUUGAUUUGGGUUGAUUUAAAUUUGAAAAGAAUGAAUCUAAUAUUCAAACCAAUCAAUAUUGAAUUUUAAUUGAUUUUAGACCCGAACAAGAAAAAAUUCCGAAACAAUCUAAUUGAUUUAAUUCAAAUUAUCGAAUUGUCAAAUUGAUCCGAAACGGUAAUCACCCUAAUCCUCCGUAUAAUGCAAUAUAUAUGAUUGUAAAAUAAGCAUAAAUAUUCUCACCUAAAAUUUGGAGGCAAAAUAACUAUUUAAUUCAUUUGAUAAUUAACUCAGAUCCACAUGCGGUUUUAGUUAGCCGCAUUAUCGUCUCCCUAGUUUUACUCUCCGAAUUAGAUAUUUUAUCGAUUAUUUUAUAUUUUAUAUACAUUUAGUGAAAAUAAUUUUUAAAUUGUUGGUGUGUUUUUUAACAAAUUUCAUUUAUAAUAAAUUUAUAAUUUUAUUUUUAUGACAAUUAUAUUAUAUUCCAUCAUAAUUUUAUGCUUAAUAUCUUCCUUAUCAGCACACUUUUUUUUUUAAGUUUAACUAUUACAUUUUUCUUUUAAAAUAAACCUGUAUCAAACGAAGUUAAUUUGUAAUUAUUCAUUUAAUAUACUAUAAAUACAUAUUAAUUAUUCAUUUAAUAUACCCAAUUAAAUGUAGAAGUAGGCAUACUGUUUUUUUAUGAUUGAAGUAGGGCAUACUAUACGUACAAGUCAUAAUCUACGAAACUAGCAACUUGUGUAGGUUUGGAUAAUAUCAAGUCCUAUAGUUUUUUUAAUAGUAGAUUAUUAUAAGGUUUGAUGUGCAAAGGUUAUAUUGCCAUGACCCCUAGAUUUGUAGGCUGAUUUUUUUUUUCUCACACAAAAGAUAAAUAAAAUUUAAAAAUAGUUUAACUAUUUUAAAAGUAAAAAAAAAAUGCCAUUUUUCGGCUGGUUGGCAGACUGACUGGGUUAAUUAGCAAGACAAAUUUUUUACCAAAUAAAAAGUAGGCAUACAUGCUUUCGAAUGCUGGUCUAUUUAAAACGUGGGGCUAUACUAGUUAUUAGCUGGUUUAAAUGCGGACCUAAACAGACUAAGGGGAACUAUUCAAUCUAAUUAAACUAAAAUAUUAAAUAUUUGUUUAUUUUGAAUAUAAUUAGUUUUCUCUUUUUUUAUUAUUUUAUACUUUUUUUGUGCUCCAACUAAAAAAUAAGUAGAUAUUUGUUAGUUAAUAUAUAUAUAUAUAUAUAUAUAUAUAUAUAUAUAUAUUUUGAAGGUACUGCAUUAUAUUAUUAGGAAUAUUAUAAGUUAGAAUUUAAUUUUGAAAUGUUAUUCCAAAAUUAAAAAUAAUUAAUAUUUAAAUAAAAUAAUAAGUAAAAAUGGAAGUUACAAGGGUGAUAGAAAAUAUCUUUGAAUUUAUAUUUUCAAGAGAAUUUUUUUUUCUUAUCCUUCAUUAUGGAAAUAAAAUUAUCCUAAGACACAAGAGUUUAACUAUUUUAGGAAUAUAUGAUACUCUGAUGAGACCAAAAUAUAUUUUGAUAACCUUUUAAUAAUCAUGAGAAUAAAUGUUUUUACUUUUAUAUUCUCGAGAAUGGAAAAGAGAUAACAUUAAACAAAUGCCACUUAUAUAUUGAAAUUAAAUGAAAUAAAUAAAAAUAAAUAUUCAUUGUCUUAAGUGAAUGAUUAAGAUUAAAAAUUAAUCAAAUUAAUAUUUAAAAAAUAUACGACUUUUAUUUAAUUUUAAUUAUUCAUAAAUCAAUAAUUGUUAUUGCUCAUUUUCAUGUGAAAGUAAUAUUCUUAUACAAGAUUAAUAAGAGUGUGAUAUGUGAACAUUGUUUUCAAUUUUAACAUGACAAAUAUAAAAAUCUAAAAGUUAUGUGAUUCUUUUAAGUCAAUCCAAUUUUAAGAAAUUUUUAAAAAGCUUGCAUAUGUUGUUUUUCGUCUUUGAAUGUCAGAUCUAUAUAACUUUUGAUUGCUGUAUUUUUUUAAUUUAUUCUUGAAAGUUGGAGUUUUUUUUUUAAAUUUUUUUGUCUUGUAUUCUAUUUUUGUAAUUAUCCCUGCAAGUUCUAAGUUUUCAUUUUGAAUUCCUAUGUUAAAUGUUCGUAACAAAAAUGUUACUUUUGCUAAUUUAUGAUGAUGUUAUCACGUGUGACACCAAUAAAAAAAUGAUAUCAUUAUGAUGUGUGUCACAUUAAUUGGUAUUACAUCAACAAUAAAAUAUCUCACAAAUAUUUGUUAAAAUUAAAUAUGAAAAUAAGAAAAAUAGUAGAAAGAUUAAAAAUUAAAAAAAUUAUAUGAACUAAAGGAAAAAAAAGUAACAAAUUUGUAGGCAUGAAAAAAUAAUUAAACUUAUAUAAUAUAUAAAUUAAUUUAAAAUUAAUAUAAAAUUAAAAUCUUAAAUAAAAAUUAAAAUCAUUAUAUAAAAACCACUUAUUAGGAUAACGUAUUGGAUAAAUAGAAUGCAUCUUAACUUAAAAUUAAUAUCACUUAAAUAUAAUUUUUCUAGUCCCCAAACACCUUACAUGCUAACCCAUACUUUAGAACUUUUGUUAGAAUCCGUCACUCAUGCUAUCAAUAUAGAGUAUAUGAAAACUAAAUUAAAGAUACCUUUCUACCUUUGUCUUAUGAUAAUAAACAACAACAAAAUCUUAUGCCACCAGUGAUCAUGUCAACUAAUCCUAUAGUAAAUCUUUGAAAAAAAAAUAGAAAACUCCAGAUUUGAUACCCAUUACCCAGUGAAAACAAAUAAAGUUUAAAACAAUUAACCUAUUCAUCUUGUUUAGAAAUCAACUAAAUAAAUUUAUGUGAUCGACGUGUAUCCGAUCCUAUAUUAACUUGAGUACUUUCAUAGUCUAAGGCAUGAAUGAGGAAUUCUAAGCCGAGAUAUAUUUGUGUGAUCGAUGUGUAUCCAAUCCUAUAUUAACUUGAGGACCUUCACAGUUUAGGACAUGACUAAUUAAGGGGUUGUCCACCAUAUCAGUACGUACAUAUAUAAUAUAGAAAUAAACUUCAGACACUAUAUUUAUUCUAAAUUAGUUUUUAGGACUUUAAAUUAAGGUAUUCAUGACUUUGCACUUUUGGAUAUAAAUACCAAUCCUUAUUUUUCUUAUUUUAAUUAAUAUAUUAAACAAAAUUUAUUUGUCUCGUAUAAUGAUUAAUUAGGAAGAUAUUCUUACGACUCACGAGCCUCUACGUAUCAUAUGGAAACUCGGGAUGAUUACAGAAUUUACCGUGCCAGGCAAAAUUUUCAAAAAUAGAAUGACAAGAAGGAAAGAGCACAAACAGACUCACUCCCAGUCCCAGAGUUAAAAGAAAAUGAUUGUUGCAGGACGGGUCCAUUAGAAUAUUAUUUAGAAUAAUUCAAGCCACUAAUUUUUUUUUAAUAAAAAAUGAAUUAGAAUUCAUACAUGACUUUACAAAUGUAUGUAUAAACAUAAAAAUAUUAAUUAUAAUUCGUACAUUAUAGUUACGAGUUUUAAUAACACAAAAUUAAAAAAUAAAGUAAAAAUGAUAAUUACAACUUCUAUAUUUAUUAGUAUUAAAUAGUAAAAUGUAAAAGUAAAGUCAUUAAAGUUUUCUACGACUUCAUUUGAUAAGAAUUAAUUCAAAUUCUACAAUAUUUUUAUAAUUUUAAAAUAAAAUUACCUUGCAUGGUAAAAAAAAGCCUAAAAAACCUCAUGAUGACUCAAUUAUCUUCUAACGAUGUAUUUAGAUGUCAGAAAAGAAAUUAUUAAAAAAAAUGGAUAGUAUUUUUUUGGUUAAAAAAAAUAAAAUAUAAAUUAAAAUUUUUCUUCAAAUUUUUUUUUCUUUCUCCCCGUUUUUCUUUUAUCUCAAACUAGAGGAUAAAUUAGUAAUCACAUCGGCAAGUUCUUUUAUGGCGAUAUAAAUUUUGUUGACAACAUUGGUAAAAAAAUUAUAUCUAUUUUACUAAAAGGAUUUAUAUUUAGUUUAUUGAUAAAGUUUAUAGAAAUAUUAUUAAUUUAUAUUGCAUAAAAAUAUACCCGAAUUUAUAAAAAAAAAUCUUAAAAAUAUGAAAGUUUGUGUAGUAUUGUAACAAGUCAAAAGCAAUAUAUAUUAUGACAGAUAACUGUCCUUCUAGUUCAAGUUGUUUUCUCUUAACAUAAAUUAUGUAAAAUCUUAAAAAAAACAUAAAUUAUGUAGAAUAAUAGUGACUUCUUCAGUGACAUUAAAGGGUUCUCGAAGUAUCCAUUUUCAAUGCAAACAGCACGUUGUUUACCACUUUGAUGUCAAUGAUAUAUAAAAAGUGGCCUAAAUUUGACAAAUAAAUUCCAGGAAUGGGACAUGCAAUGGACUGAUGCCAAAGAUUAUAACCGGCCACCAACACUUUUAAGUGAGAAAGCCAUCAAUUUGAAACAAUGUAAAGAGAUUAUCAAAGUUGAGAGUGCUAACAACCAACAAACCCAUCACUCUUGCAAUCACUAACACAUGGGUUAUGGUCCUCAAAGUCAAUGCAUCAGAUCACCUAGCUGUUUGGCACUUUGACUUGUUGGUACUUCAUAUAUACUAGUAGAUUUCAUUUCAUCAAUUUCAUAACCCAAUUUGGAUCACACAAAAGGGGCAAAUGGCACAUGUCAUAUCUUGAUACAUGUAUUUUCCUUUUAAAGUGGUUGAUCAAUUUUUAAUUAAAUUAACAGUAUACAGUGGCUGGUGGCAUACAUUAGUAGACACCGAAUUACACCAUUAAGAGCCGUGUGGUUCAUAUCACUAUAUAUGUUUUAAUUGUUUAAAAAUAUAGUAGUUAAAGUGUAGUAAAAAAUACUGCAUGUAAUAGUUUAAAUUUAAGUAUACACCUAAAACCAAAUGUAUACUCUAUAAUAGCUGAGUACAUCUUGCUACAUGAAUACCAAUAUACCCUCAAAAGUAUUAGACUGCUUAGAGAAUGUUGCUGGAUAGAAUAUAGACAAAGAAAAUGUCAGAAAAAAUUUGAGAAAUACUAUUCAGAAAGUAAAACACAGAUGAUAGAAGGAGAAGACACAGAUGAUAGAAGGAGAAGAGAUAUUAUAUAAAAUUGUUAAAUUUAUUGUGUAUAAUAGAAAUUAUAGUUAAAGGAUUCAAAACACUCUCAAACUCUUUGAACCUAGAAAAUAAAGCUCUUUACAAAGAAUACAAUAACUAACUGUCUAAUCGAAAAUUAUUACAACAGAAAAAUAAAAAACAAUUACAAUUACAACUCAACUUAUGUUAAUUAACAAAUAGAUUAAAUGAUCUAUUCAGAAGACAAGAGUACAAGAGUAUUAGACUAGGCAAUCAUUGUCGUCCACCCUAUUUCUAUCAUUCAUUGUCCAACAAUCAAUAUAAAAUCUAAGAAAAAGAAAUAUAGUUAGAUAACAAAGAUUCAACUCUUCUCUACUAUGGCUAGAAGAAGAAACUACAAGUCAUCUCUCACAUUCUCAUGCUCCUUUUCAUCAUGGAAAAUGUCCUUGACUAGCUUGUGGUUCAAGUGUUUUUUUUAUCACAAAUAUUAGUAGUUAAUUGUUAAUUUUUUGUUAGCAAGAGAGUCGAACCCACAAUUUUUCUUUCUUUCUUUUCAUCUUACUACCAAAUUGAUCUUAUAACUUUCUUUGGGGUUCAAGUGGUAAUGUCAAAUGAUAGUAGGAAUCAUUUGUUACAACUUAAAUAUAUUAUGAUCUCACAGGAAAAAAAAAUUAAAAAAAGGCUUGGUAGGUAGUGUGGUUUGCCUCAAUUUGGUCUAUAUAUAGCUACACAGAAAUAAUAUAAUAUCAUUAUAAUAUCAUUUUUAAAGGUGAGGUUACAAAUGCUGAGUGUUUAUUAGACCUAAAGUGUAAAUCUUAGUCUUGGUUAAUAUAAAAGCAAAGGGUUUUCUUCUUUAUAUAAAUGGUCAAUUGACUCGAUAUUGCUAUAUAUAAAGACUUGUAAUACUAUAAGUAAGAACAUUGUAUAAGAAUUUAGUACCUCUAAUGUAAUGUUUUUUGACUAAUAAAAAAAUAUGUUAUUGCAAAGCCGAGUUGAGAGAAGGAAAACAAUGAUUUUCUUUAGUCAGAGUUGUAUCGGAUAUGGAUGUAAUCUCACAUAUUGUUGUCAGUUUCAGCCUUGAUGUUAUAGUCUUAUAGACGUCAUAAUUGAGGGAAUAUAUAUAAGUGGACAAUAAAGUGAUUGAAAAUGGCUCAUCUAAAUAUAUAUCAAGUGCUGGAUAUGGAUAGGCUUCAAUGGUGGACAUGAAUAUGCGCUUUUAAUGCUUAUACAUCAAGUAAAGCAGCUUCCCCUAUUCGAGGAAAUAGUUGUUCUCUUCUUUUGCCCCACUUAUCCUUGUGCCAUGCUAUGAUGAAUUUGUGGAGGUCUCAUAAGAAAAAAGUUCAAUGCUUGUUGAUGAAUCCAAUCAACCACGAUUUCUUGUGUUAUCCUAUUCUCACGAGUAGUGAAUGUUAUUGACUAAUUUUAGGCACAUAUGACAUCAUGAUAUGCGACCUUUGUAAAACCAAUGGUGCAUGAUGCUAAGUAAUUAUGAGUAGUAAUUAUAGUUACAAUUCCUAGUAACUAAAACUCCUUUAAGGGACGAAAUUUUAAUGGACAAGUGUAAGAAUGUCAUCUGAAUAUGAGUUCCUACCUAAGCAAUAUAAAUAAACUAGUUGCAAGAUGUGAUAAUUUGAAGCAAUCAUGCUAAAUUGAUGCAAUGAUGCUUUUGACCCUAUAAUCUUACACCGUUUUGGUAGCAUUGCAUCAUUUUAAAUUGCAUCAUAUAACGAGAGCUAGCUAGGUGUCGCUUGCAGGUGCUAGUUGAAGGAUUAUCAGAGAGCAAUAGAACAACAGAACAAAAUUAAUUAAAAUAAAUUGUAUUUCUAUCAGCAGAAGUACACAUCAGAAAGUCAUCGACUUAUAAUGAUAAAGUGGACUUAAACAAGUCAAUCUCAGGGUCAAUUCCAAUAUAUCGAUACCAUUCAAAGAUAUAGACGUUUUAAAAUCAUGCAAUUGUCUUUUGAAGUCACAAUUCACAAUAAGAAAGACAGACAAAAGAGGGGCUCAAGAGAACAUUUCAAAUAAAACAUCAAAUCAAUUAUUAAAAUUAUAAUCUUCAAUUAACUUUGUCUUUAAAUUUAAAAAAUAAUUAAAAUUGAUUCAAAUGUAUUUGUUUAUUAAUUUGAUUCUUGAAAUCAGAUAUUAUUAACUAUUUUAGUUCAUAAUUAUUGAAGUAUAAAUGUGAAUAAAAUCCAUAUUAGUUAGGAAUGAAAAAGUCAAAGAACAUGUAAUCAGGAAGACCAUAAAUUUAAUGUUUUAAGAUUUUAGAUUAAAAUAUGAUAUGAAUUUUUUAAAAAUUGAUUGAUUGGUAAUUGUAAAAUUUAGGAGCUAAAUUUGUACUUUAAAUAUUAAGGAUCGAAUUAAUAAUGACACUUAUUUCAGUCAUUAAAUUGAUGUUUUACUUGGGAAAUUUUCCAAAAGAUUAGUAGUCUGCACCAUGUAAAGCAUGCUCUAAAUUACUGACAUUUGUAAUUUGUGCUAAAAUUGCAUAUAUGUAAGGUAUAGGCAAUAGGCACACCGCAUAUUCCUAGUUUACCAAAGAAGAAGAAGGAAGAAGAAACAAAAAACGAGAUUGUUCCAUCGGUAUUUGGGUGCUUAAAUAAUUUAGAGUGAUGCUAGGUGCACCCACGCUUUAAAAAAAGAUCUCGAAAGCAUUGUAAAGCCUAUGCCAAAUUAUUAACGCGUUCACCUUCCACAUAUGCAAAACUGGCAGAGAAUGUCAUCCCAGUCGGUGUCAUCCCAACAAAAUCGAGCACAACAAAAUCGAGCAGUGGGAGUCUGUAUCGAUUUGUUUUGUAGGUGCUAUCUAUCAAAAAUACCAAAUUACAUGCGUUGACUAACUUCACUGAAUCAGGGUGACACCAAAAGAUAUCACGAACCACGUCUUCAUCCUUUAUUCUGUGCCAAUGAAUAUACUGAUCACGUUCAAGAAACUUCAUCAAAUGUUGCAUUUCAAGAUCGCUUCCUCUUAUGGAAGAACGGAAUGCACUUCUUACAUUGUAUAUCUGUUUAAUGGUCAUACAGCUAUUGGUAUUGUGUUCCUUCAGAGUUAGCAGAAUGUUUCUUGGCUUCACCAUGGACUUCGUCAUAUCAGCAAUAAGUGUUUUUUUAGCUUUAGUCAAUCGCCCUGCAUAUGGAUGUCCAACUAAUGACUUGACCAAUUCAUGAUUAUGCACUCCACAAAUCAACUUCACCACCCAGCCUUCUCCUCCAACCGCUGGCUUGCAACGAAGCUUGAAGGGACACCCACAUUUCCUAGUCCCAGUGUCUCUUCUGAUAAAUUCUUUUUUCCUACACCUAUACUCGCCACUCCUUUCACAGCCAAUUAACACAAAUGUAGUCAUUCCUCUACUACCUGUGUUUGAGUCCGACCCUAAAAUCACUGUCACAAAUCCGUUUUCAUGAGCCACGGAUCAAGCCCACCGCAAAACAUUCUCUCAGCACUCAAACACCUACAAAGAAAUCCACAUAAUUUUUUUUCUACUAGUAUUCAUUUUAUUAAAUCUGUGACAAACAUUAACAUUAUAACUUGAGAAGUGUUGAACACAUCCGAACAAUCAACAUGUGGUUCAUUCGCACCACAUGCUUCUUCUGCAUUUUCAUAAUCCAUAUCCGCUCGUUCAAACAUUAUUUCAUACAUCCACUCAUCUUCGUCCAUCUAACCAAAUCAAACAAAAAAUGGAAAAAAAUUAGUAAUUUAACAGGAAAAAAAGGAAAAUAAAUUAAAAAACAGCAAAUACCAAAAAUAAUAGACUUACAGAUCAACUUGAUCCGGAAGUGUGUUACGGAUCAAGUUGAUCUGUAACAAUUACGAAUCAACUUGAUCCGUAACAGAAUUACGGAUCAACUUGAUCCGUAAAUGAACCGUACGUCCACGACAAACGCCACACCCUCUGCGUACCUCGUUUACCGCCGCCAACCACCGCAAUGCACCUUCACCUUCACCGCACCUAACCUUUCACAGCGAACCAACGAACCCGAGAGAAUGCCGAACGAAAACCACAAAAACACAGAAAAAAUGGAGGCUUUGUGCUUUUCUGCAAAAAAAAUUAUAAGUAAAAAAUAGGCCGGGGGUAUUUUUGCCAUUUAAGAAUUUUGCUGGGUGCACCAGCAAAAAUGCUGGGUGCACCUAGCAACACUCAAUAAUAUAUGAAAAAAAAAGACUAGUUUUAUAAGAUUUGAACUUGGGCUACUUCUCAUAUCUAAGGCUCGAACCUAAUAUAUUUAUGUGAUAUAGAGAUUUUUUUAAAAGGUAAAAUGAUCAUUUCAUAUCUUAAAUUAUUAUAUAUGAUAAAUUUAUUAAUUUUAAUGAUAGUUUAUUAAUGAUGACAUCAAGGGGUGAAAAUAGAUUUGGAUAGUUGAGUUCUAUUAGACCUGAAGGUUUCUCAAAUCUAUGGCUCGAGCCUAAUAUAUUCAUUUGAAGCAGAGUUUUUUUUUAAAGACAAAUUGACCUUUAUAAAAGUUGUCUAACCUCUGAAAACUUAUUUUAGAAGUCUAAUUAAUGGUAAGGCCUAUUAAAGAGGUUAAAAAACUAACUUACAGACUAACAGGCAAAAAUUUACUAGUUAUGCUGUUAAUAACCAUUAACCAAUAAGACUUCGUUAACUUGUGUUAAGCUAUGGAACUAAAAAACUUAGAUACAUUACAGGGAUCAAUUAAUUAUAUAAGUUGUCUACUUAUCAUAGUAUUGUAAAACCUAUCCAGCGUCACCACGUGUGAGUGGAAUAGUUUUUCAAGUUAUUUUUUUAGUGACUUUUUUAGUCGCUUCUUUGUUUUAAUUUAAAAACUGUGCAAUGCACAGAUGGGUUAAACAACCUCAUCCCAUCAAAGAUGAUUGGUGUAAUUAAUAUUUACAACUAUCCAUUUUAAAGUACAUAAGAGAUUUUUACCAAUUGUCUAUGAUGAGUUACAUUUUUAUUUAAGAUAAGUUAGACAUGCCCUUAACCAUAUGGCACCAUUGAAAUAUAGAGUGAAUUAAUUAAUUCCAAAACUUGUUAAACUGAUCAUUUUAACUGUUCUUAAAUAGUUGGACUAGUCUACAACAACUUGUUUAAGUCCCUGUCACAAUCAAACUAAAUUAAUCAAUGUCUUCUUCCAUAAUCGUUGACAGAUAAUGAGAUAAAGCAGAAAUGUAACAACAUUAUGCAGGCAAGAGUUUAUGAAGUGACUCGCACCCACAAGUGUGUACAAGUGAAUUUAAAUUUUGUAUUGCAAUUGCUAGCCCCUUUUAACCUCAUCAAUAUUAUAGCUUCAAGAUUUUAAUCCAAUUAAGUUUUAAUUUCUAAUUUUCUUUUGAACUGUUUGAUCAGAUUGUUUCUCACAUUUCAUCUCUUUUCUUUCCCCUAAGGAUUUAAAGAAUUCCACAACAACUAAAAUUUCAAAAAUGAUUCUCAAAGGCCCCCUUCAAAGUUUAAUGUCAUUAGCUCAUUUACCAAAUGUCAGCUAUAAAGAACUUCAAAGGUGACUCUGAAAACAGAUUCAGAAGAGGAGUAAAUCCUUGCAGUUCGCUGAGAAUAAGCAUGGUGGCGAAAUUGUCUUCAAUACUUACAAAAUUGUGCCACUUGGAAUUUGUUGCUUAUGAGCAGAAGAGGAAGAAUUAAGCUAUUGUUUACAAGUUACAACAGAUUGUAAGCAGGCAGGUCUUGUAUUUUGUUGAUGUCUUCUAAGGAUAGCUCUCUCUCCAAUUGCAUUCUUGUUGCUUGUAGAACAUCCUAAAGCCAUGCAAUAAUUUGCAGUGUCAAUGCAUUAAAGAAGUUGAAAUGAUCAAACAAUACAUUAGUGUGUGUUUCAGACAAUCAUAACUAAAGCAGUUCGUGAAAAAGAGAGAAAAAAAAAUUGGAAAGUUUCUGUAAUACCAACUUUAUGUGAAGAGUCCUUACUUAGUUACUUCCCCGUUACAAUUUUGCUUCAUUAAUAUCUUCUAUGAUUCUUUCCAAAACUUGUUCUAUUUAAUCUUAGAGAAGUUUUAAUGUCCUUGAGUAAUAACAGAAAAUAAAGUUUCUCUUACUAUAAGGAAAAGUGGCCAUAAAUAAGAUAUGGAAAUUAAACAAUUUCCAAGAUCAGAUAUAAAUUGAAAAGUAGCCUUAAUAUCAAAGUACUUGCCAUUUCAAAACUCUAAUCUAAUCUUAUUUUUAUUUAUUUAUUUUCCUUUGGUAUUAUCUGUAGUGGUUGGAGGCCCAGGAAGAUAGCAAUAGAGCACAGGACAACAGUAGGCCCAAGAGGAUCAUCAGGAAACCAGCCCACUACAAGGACUUUGUUACACAAUUAGCUCUUGCUAACUAGACAAUAGGAUAAUGCAAAAGAUAAUUCUGUUGUAAGAAUUGGUUAGUGACAACAAACUAAUUCUGUUAUUUCCAUUUCAUGUUUGUUACGGCACAGCUGGCCAACUAGUGGUUUUCAGCUUUUGUUAUCCAUUUCAUGUUAUAAAUACCAUAUUUGGAAAUAAAGUCAGCAAGAAGGAAUUACCUAUAGCUUGUAGUGAUUAGUAGAUAAUUACGUUCCUAACAUUGGACUAGGAGGGAAAAGACAUGAAGGAUUGGAGAUACAGAAAACGCAGGGAAUAAAAAAGCGUACGUUAAAAUCCAUGUAGGAAGCAUGCAUAGCCAGCCAUUGUGCAUCCAUCAUCUCAAAUGCUAUACAGUAUAGAACAUCGAAUGCUUCUUCAUUUUCUGCGGUAAGAUGUAAUGAGACUUAUGAGCAUUUGAAGGAGUAAAACAUCAAAAAGCUCCUGGAAGUGGUCAAAUACAUGCAAGCAUUUGACAAGGGCAGAUUAAGAUGUACCACACCUCCUAAUAACUUAACAAAAUUCAUGCCUGGAAGACAUCGUGGCUUUUCUGCAACAAAAAAAAAAAAAACGAAAAAAAAAAGCAUUUAGUGGAAAUGUUAUUAGAAAAUGUACUUUACUUCCUCGCUUUUUGAUAAAGGGAAAGAUUUACAAACGCCAAAAGGUCAAACAACAAAAUCAAUACAUAAAGUUAAAAGAAAAAGAAAAAGAAAAAGAUGUUGACCAAAUGCAACUCAUGCCAUAUCUGUGUCUCGUAUUGUGUCCCUACUUUCUAGCAUUUUCCCCUGGUGCACUGGGCUACCCUUUACUGUUUAUAAUAGCAGAAUCAGUGGAAUGAAUAAUGCAUUGUGAAAUUGUACACAAACCUGAGCAUAAAUCCAACAUCUGUAUCAACAUAAAUGAUAUAUUAAUGCCAGCAACAGCAAAUGGAUAUUCCCAGGUUGCUCUCUUUCCAUCUUUUUUCAACAACAGCUUGUGAAAAGAUUCCUUCAUUUGAAUUUCCAUAAAAUUAGUUAUAACUCAUCUUGUCUGCCAAGAUAGAUAUCAAGGAACUAAAAUGAGAGGACAAAAAGGCUCAUCAAGUUCUUUCAGAUACACAGAAUAGAAGACACAAAUGCAUACCGGAUAUUUCCUUGCGAAAAACAGUAGAUUUUCAAGGGAAAUGAAGCCACACCCCCUGAAGAAAUCAGGAUAUUAGACACAAUACCUUGAAAUAGAAAAUUUUGAGGUAAUGGAAAGGUCAAGCAUAAUGCACUCUCUUUUAAGUCUGUAUGAACUAGUGUUUUCACAUAAUUUGCAAUUACUAAUUAGAAACAAUGAAGUCACCAUAUCAAUUAGGUUGGGAUCAUUGUUAAAGAUAAGGAAAGAAUCUACUCACUUGAAGUCUCUAUGAACAAGUGCUUUCAUAUAAUAUUCAGUUAACUAAUCAGAAAUUAUCAGCUCAGCAUAUUAAUUUGGGAUCCUCCAUAAUAUAUUAAAAGAAUUGGUCUAUUGAAGUUCUCUAUAGUCAUGUCCUUGUGUGCUUAUGGAACAAGCAACGCAUAGAUCCCUAUGACUAGAAUUUAAUCCCUAGUAGCUAUCUAAUAAAACUGAUAUAUGAAGGAUCAUCAAAUUUCUGUGAAAUGAAAUGAUUUGGUUUAAUUCUGUACCAUACAUUAAAGAAUCAUUAAAUGUAAGGGGAAAAAAAAUAGUGAAAAUUCCAUGCUACUAUAAACCUUAAUGCAAAGGGAAAGUGACGAAAAUGCCUUGAGAUCUUAUAAGAACAUGUAAGUGUACCUAAAGUCAGUCGAUGGAUUAGGACCUUGCCAUCCCAUAUCUUUCCAUUGGUCAGAUAUUAGGCCUUCCAGAGAUACAUUAGGAAAGGAACAAUGCCACAAAGCUCUUAGUGAUUCCUGUUGAAAGUUAAUGAUUUUGUGAGUUAAAUGUGGUAUAAACAUAACAUGUCAAAAGUUGAAAGUAUUCCUAAACUACAGGGUAGGGUCUGUCUUCCUAAGAACCAGAAAUGAAGCUUGAAUUUUCAAGAAGCAAACUGAAGUUUUGAUAAAUAAAGAGGCAAAAUAGGUUCAUGAAAAACAGAUAUACUUGAUGAUCAGGUCGAGUCUCAUCAUAAGGAACUUGCAGCCGUUCUUGAAGCCUUUGAAGUCUUUCCUCCUGACAUAAACAUAGAAACAAAUUAAGCUCAGAGUCUGUAAUAACAGUAAGUCACAAUUGAAAAUAAACAGAAAAUCAGAAGGAAAAUUUAACAAAUCACCAUCUUCUGUUUUACCUCAAUAGGACUCAAAGGAUAAUCAAUGAAUUUGUCAUCUCGCUUGGUGGUUGUGCGGUGAAAGAGUCCUCCUAUCCAUGAUCGUGAUCCAACCAUAGCAUUAGCUACGUGUAACAAAAUAUAGAUCAACACUGAAAGAAAACUUGGAUGAUCAAUAAAAUGAUAUAGGACAGAAUCAUCAUGUUGUUGUGUUGUUGAGUCAUUAUAGACUUUGAAAUACUGAAUUUCAGAGUUGAAAUAAGUUCUUCUAAUGCAUUCUGAAUAUUGUGUGUGUUUUGUUUGCUAAUACAGAAAACAGAAUGCAGAAGAGGCAUUCCCUUAAACUGUCUUUUGAAAGAAAGUCCUAGAGAAGUAAGAAACGAAUCUUGGAUAGGACAAAACAACCAAUGAAACUCUUUUUUUCCUGUUUGAAAGGCAGAGUUACUUUAAUUUCAUAUGUAGGCUUGAAUUAUCAAGAGCGCUCUCAAAAUGAAACUGCCAAACAAAAAAUUACUACUUAUUGAUAGAAAUAACUAGCAAACUAUAUCACCAUAUCUAGAAGGAUAAUUUACAUGAGAAAGCAUGAAAAUCUGAUAGUUUAAGUAUUUUACUGGAACUGUUUGAGAUUUCUAGUUUAAGUAUUUUACUGGAACUGUUUGAGAUUUCUCACAAUGUUCAGUAACCCUCCACAUCCUCAUUGACUUAUAACAUCAAUCAAUUAACAUAUUGAUUGAAAAGAGAUGAAAAAAUCUAUAGAAACAGAAAGAGAUCAAGAUAAACAAAUGUACUCACUAAAACAUUGAGUAAACUGAGAUAUUAAGUGAGUGGAAUUAGGUGUCCAUUCCAACUCUUCAUCUUCCUUUCUGCGUCUCCAAUAAAUCUCAUCCUCGUCUACCUGUAUUUCAAUUUUGAAAGCAUCCAUAAGCAAAGAGUGAUAGCAUAAAGACAAUACGAACAACUUGUCAAUGUACCAAAACAAUUGUCAAAUUUUAAUUCCGUGCAUUUAGAUGAGUAAAUCAUAGCAUGCUAUCUCAAUGUGCCUAGAAGAAUUUGUCAGGAAAGUAAGGCGACAAACAUACUUUUGGUUUCUGACUUAGUAAGAAGAGAUGCUUGAGAUUCAGAAGCUAUACAAUGAUAAGAAACAAUUACACAAAAGAUUAUUGAACUAAAUAGCAGAUAAGAAACACCUGAAAAACACUUGAGACUACUACAUCACUGUCAGAUCAAGAACUAAUGGAAAAACGAAAUGCAAGUCAAUUCAAUCCACAUAUGACAAAUUAUUUAAAAUGCAUUACAGUUUGGUAAAAAGAGACAAUUUCUGAAUGAUGUGACAAUUCUUUAAUUCCUUUUGAGAGUCUACAUUAUCAACAUUUUUCUCAAGGUGAAUUUUCAGACAUGGAGCUUAUGAUAGAGAGAAACAUGAGAAAACAAAGGUGAAUUUACUUUGCGAAGAGAGGAACAAGAAGGAAAACAUCGUUUACGCUUCCUCAAUCUCAUGAGGGUGCAAUCAGGAACAAGGGUCAUUCAACCUUUUUUUCUUUUAACCGAAGGCAAAAGGAAGAAAAAGACAAGUUCAUUUUGAAACAAAUGGGUGAUCUAUGAUUGCACUCAAUUCAUGCACCCCCUCCCCUAUAAUUCAACCUCCCCAUCAUUCAUAUGCUGUUUAUCCGCUGAUUUCAUUUGUAGCAAUUACUAGAAAGAGAAAAAAAAUUAAGAAAACCAAAGUGCCAACAUAAUUGAAGGCCAAACCUGAGGUUACAAAAGCCAUGAUUACACGUUGAAAUUGAAAUAGAAGGGCAAGCAUAACAAAGGGAGUCUCUUUUUUGCUUAGCUUUAUGCUGUAAAGAAGUUAGUGAUGCAAAAGAAGAUUUGAAAAGUUGGGGUUGGUGUCUCUGCUCUGCCUAGCAUUGAUUUUUGCUUUUUCUAGCCCACCAACUUUUCAUACAAGAUAAACAUGAUAUUUGUCCUAUCUAGGUAAAGCAUAGGAAUAAAGACAUGUAAUGUAAUGUAACAUAACAUAGCACAAUGCAAUGUAAUGUUUGAUACUUUGAUAUCUAGAUAGAUAGAUAAUAUAUAUAUACCAGCUAUGUGAUGUUAGGGUAUCUCAGAAGAGGUGUCAAUGGUUGUGAUGUUGUUGUAGGUACUUGGUGGUGUUGAUGUCAGAAAGAGAGCCACUAGAACAGUAGAGGGAAGUGGUGGGGCCAGAAAGAAGAAGGGAUAUGGGAAGUAGAAAAAUGGCAUUUUUGUUUCAGAUUGAGUUUUGCUUUUGCAUUGAGGAAGGGUCUUGUGAUGGUUUGUUUUGUGUGUCUGUUUGUGUAGCUUUGGAUGCCAUACAUUUUCCCCACUGCUAGCCUAUACCGUAGUUCUCGGUGCUGCCCAAACUAUGUGCUUUCUUUGGCUCUUUUUGUAAUGCAAGGGUCCAAAUAAUAGCAUGAUUAUUGAUGAGUUUUUUUUAAAGACUUUUUGAUGAGUUUUUAACUACAAGAAAAACCAUCCUAAUAUGACACUAUUAUUAUAAAUCUGUUUGUGUGAUGAGUUAUUGUUUUGAGAUGGAAUUGAGAUUUUAGUAUACUAUUAUGGAUAACAAGUGGCAACGGCAAUUUUUUGUUUUGAACAAACCACCAAUUUAGUCCUUCAAUUUAUUAUCAGCUCUCCUAGAUAGUCUUUAAAAUAAUGUAAUUAUAUAAAAAGUUUCCUAAAGUAUUAAAUAUUUAUCGGUUUAGUUUCUAUGUUAAUUUAUUUUGCUAAUGUUUUUGGAUUAAUUUAAUUUUUUAUGCUUUGAAUCAUUAUAUAACAUGAUUUCUAAUAAUUUAGGAACUAUUUAUAUAAUUUUAUUAUUAAAUUAAUGGUUUAUUCUUUUUUUUUUAGAGACUAAUUUUUUUUAGGUACAUUAAUUUAUUUAAUGGAUAGACUCUUUUCCACAGAUAUUCUAUUCAUAUAAAUUUAUAGAUUGAAUCUUUUAUCACAUAAUUAAUGGAUAUCAUUAUUUACUAAGCAUGUCACGCGUGGGACAGAUUUUGUUUUAAGGAAAUUCACACACUUGUAGGUAGAAGCAUUAAGGACCGUGUUCACGAUCCAACAAACUCAAAGGUUGUUGAUCAAUGACCACGUGUCAAUUUUAUUUUUUUUGUUUUUAUGUGUCAAAACUGCCACCUCAUUAGUCAUCAUUCCGCCUUGUAAAAUGACAUGGUCGUAAUUUUAACAGAACAGUUAAUAUGGGAAGCUAUUAUUCACACUACAAAAUUUCCUUUUCUCAGUACCCAUGUGAAUAGUUUUUUGCUAAUUUCCAAAAUUACCCUUCUCACUAAAAUACAAUUUCGUUCUUGUACAGCAAAAUUGUGUUUUCAUUGUAUAUAGUUGGGGCGAAAAAAAAUUAAACUUGACAGGGUGGGGUUGCAUGCAAUGUGACACUACUGGAUCUUGAAGGGGAUGGGUGGCGUAAAUCUUGAAUGGGGAAAGGUGGCACAGGAUGAUCGAAUCUAAACACAGUGGGCUAGCGCAAUGUGAUCUGGUCGUAUCUCAAUGGCAGGGCAGUGCUGCAGGGGAAUGGGAAGUCUGAGGGGUGUAGGGAUUAUUGAGUGGAUAAAAGAGAGAUCGUAUAGUUAAAAAGGUGGUUCAAGUUUCUAUAAAUAAAAACAAUAAGUAAAAAAAAAAGGUAAAAUCGAACUUAGUUAGCUAUGGUACUCUACUUUAUUUUUCACAUCUUAAUAGCGCAAGAUAACUUUUGCACUCCAUAUCAUUCAAGUUGGUUUAUUAUUUACACAAAUCACUAGUAUUUUUACAACUAUUCUCCCUCACACCACCAAAACUUGGUCACAAAGCAGUCGCCCUGACAGUAUAAGCACGCUGAAGAAGGAAUUGAUCAUCCUGAAGAAAUAUAACCGGAAGCACUACCACACGGACCAUAUACUACCAUAGGAAAGAUUCUCAAUAUUUUUUUAAAAAAAUGAGCAAGAAAAUGAGUGAAAUGCAUAAAUGAAAGGAUCUAAUUGACGUGCAUGCCAAAACUGAGAGAAAAAGAAAAACCAUAAAGAAAUGUAUUCUUUAAAUCCAUAUGCUCCAAGUGCAUGUCAUGACUGAUUACCAAGGCUAGCACUAUCUGAUAGAAGUGUGUCUUACGAUUGGAGAGAAAAUCUCAUCAUAAUCAAUCACUUUUUGUCAUGCAUACCCCUUUGUUACUAGGGGAGUCUUGCACUUUCCCUCCUUUUUUUUUUUUGAUACAGGAGGUUUCCUCUUGUACACCCAUUUGCAUCCUAUGGUUCUUUUGCCCACAAGAAGGUCAAGUAGCUCCCAUGUCUAAUUCUUUUGUAAAGACUUCAUCUCCUCCACCAUGACACCCAUCCAUCUGUCUUUUUCCUGGCUAUUCAUAGCCUCCUCAAGGGUAGAAGGAUCUCCAACACUAGUGAGAAGUGGAAAAGCAACUAAUUUAGUUAAUUCUUCAAACCAUAUCGAACAAUGGGUUUAAUGGUGUGACGAUCUCUGUCUUUGACAAGAUUGUACUACUGAUGUGGUCCACCUAAACUCACUGAUCCAGGCUCAGGUGUGGGUGUGGCCUUAGAUCUUGGACUGCAUGGUUCUUCCCUUUCAAGAAUCACCACAGCUGCUUAAAGUCCCCCUAAACCUCCAUGGAGCUGGGGGGAAGCUCCAUCAGACACGGGCACAAUUGUCUUAACUAUCUUUGGUAACAUGGAUUGCUAAUCAAAACACUGCAUCCCUGCUAAUCACCAAUUUCUUGGAAAUAGGAUCCCAAAACUUGAACCCUUUCACACCUUUGGAAUAACCUACAAAAACAUACUUUUUCAACUUUGGAUCAAGUUUAGAUUUCUCAUCACCAGAUGUAUGCAUAAAAUAAGACACCCAAAUAUUCUCAAAUUAUUAAAAUCAAAAGGGUUACCUGUCCAGACUUCCUUUACAACAUUCCUAUCCAAUGAUGCUAGUGGUUAUUGAUUGAGUAGAUAGCACACAAUAAUCACUAUUUUUGCCCAAAAGCCUUUAGAAAGGUCAACUUGCAACCUCAGACACUAGGCCCUUUCAGUAAGGGACCUAUUCAUCCUCUCUGCAACACCAUUCUAUUGUGGUGUUUUUCAUAGUGAUAAAUGUCUUUGAAUGUUAUGUUCCUCAAAGAAUUUCUAGAACCAUGAGUCUGUGUAUUUCAUGUCAUUAUCAGACCUUAAGUACCUAAUCUUUCUGUCCAUCUGCUUUUCCACCUCAUCCUUCCACAGCUUGACCUUCUCAAAGACUUCAUAUUUCUGUUUCAUGAAGUACACUCAGACUUUGCAAGAAAAAUCAUCAAUGAAGGUCACAAAAUAGUGAGAACCACCCAAGGAAGAAUCUCUAGUAGGACCUCACACAUUAGUAUGCACAUAAUUUAGAAUGCCCUUAGUGGUAUGCUUCACAACUUGAAACUGCACUAAUCUAUUUCCCAAGCACACAGUACUCACACACAAACAUUUCAUUAACUUGGUAGCAAUUUGCAUGCUCUUUCACAGAGUAAAUCACUCUAACUCAAUGGAAAACAAUAUUAUCAAGAUUCUUUAUAGGGAACAUUUGAAUUUUGGAUAAAGGUGAUUAGUAAAAUCAAUAAACUAUGUUAGUGCGCAGUUUGAUCAGUGAUACUUCUGAUUUUUCAAACAAUGGUUGGUGGCAUAAGGUGAGUGUAAGAACUUUAUAUAUAUAGAACUAUUUCUAAAUGACCUAAACAAAUGUUUUAAGCUAUGAUCGUACAGCAAGUAGACCACAAUGGUGAAAAGCUCAACAUUUUCACAUAGCAUGAGUCUCACAUGUUUCAAUGAACCAAAGUUAACAAGGGGCCGCUCUUACACAGUACUCCCAUUUGGUAAAACAUUCAAUUAUUCAUGCAACAAAAUGGUGUAUGGAUUUGAUAGCUAAUUGAUAUGUGAACAAAAACCAAUUUAUCUAAUGAUUCUAAUAUAGUCUCAGAUAAGUUAAUUGGGGAAACACUAGUUGUUGUACAUGCAGAGAAUCUGAGAUUUCUAUAUGUGACAUUCUCUAAAUUUUAAAAUAUGUUGAAUUAAAAUGUGUGAUCUUCCAUACAAAUUAUUUUUCACUCUAUUGUGAGAGAAUUAUUUUAAUUUGUUUACAAAUUGUUCUUGUUUAGACAUUUCUUUAUUGAUCCAAUGUUGAUAUAAAUUUUAUUAUUUAAGCAUAUAUGUGGGGAAAAACUUUAUUGUUAUGACUUAGAACCACACAUGAUGCAUCCAUGGGCAUUCAAUCCAUCAAAGUUGAGUUGGAUAAACAUAAGUAUUAGGACUAUACUUCCUUUGUCCCUAAUUAUAAGAUCUUUUUUAGAAAUUUGUUUAUCCUUUUUAAUAAGAUUCUUUUCUAAUUUCUAGGUGCAUAAAUUAUUUUUUUAUUACAUAACCUUAUUUAAUUAUUCUCUCUCCAAACAUUAAUGAGAAACAAUUAAGUAGAUAGAGAGAUAAGAAUAGGGUAAUUUUCAAAUGAUAGUAUACAUAAUUGAUAAAUUUAAUGUGAUUAACUAAAUUAAUUACUUUUCUUAAAGGGCGUGAAUUAGUUGAAAGAGUCUUAUAAAUAAUGGUAAAUAGUCACUUUUGUCCUUCAAUGUGUAAUUUGCUAACAAAUACGUCCCUAAAAGAUGAGAAUACAAAAUUUAGUCCCUGAAAGUGUAAAAAGUGCGACAAAUAUAUUCGGCCAUUAACUUCCGUCUGUCACCGUUAAUAAAAUAACCUACGUGCCACAGAAGGACAAAUUUGUCACUAAAAUGAUUGACAAUGUGGAUUGCCAGCAUAUGGGCAUAUCUGUCAUAAUAUUUUUUUGACUUUUCGUCUUCCCUCUCCGCUGACAAACGCGUCCCUGAAAGAUGAAAAUAUAGAAUUUAGUUCCCGAAAGAAUAAAAGUACAACAAAUAUAUCCGAAUGUUAAUAAUAGAUUGUGACUAUUUAUUAUUGUUGUUGUUGUUGUCGUGUUUUUGUAAAUUACUGCUCCUAUUCCUUUUGUACUUAUGCAAUAUAUUUUUUAAAUUGCCUUUUAAUAUAUAUAUUUUAUUAUUUUGAUUUCCUUAUCAAACCUUAAUCUUUACUGUUAGAAAAAACUUUAUCUUAUAUCUUAUAAUUUUAUCAAAUUUCUACUAAAUUCCUCUUUUAAUCUUUAAAAUUAUUCCAUAUCCUAAUUCCAACUUAAGUAUCCUUAUAUUUAGAUUGAAAAUAAUAUGUUGAGAGUUUUGAGUAGAAAAAAAAAAAAACAACCAGCCGCGAGACCAAAUUUAUUUAUUUUAAAAAAAGAAUUUAGUCAACUAUUUAUUUAAAAACAAGUCUCACAAAAUUUAAACUAUUCAAAGCUAAAGUGAAAUUAUAAGUUUUUUUUCCUUAAUCAAUAAUAUAUAUAUAUAUAUAUAUACCUCAAAUAUGAAAUAAUCCCUUAGAUAAACCUCAUGUGUUUCCACUCGAGACAAAACUUAUUAUACAUAAUAUGAAUGAAAUAAAAAUAGUUACUAACAAAUAAAGAACCCAAAUAAAUUUAAAUAAAAAAUACAAUAAUGUUCAAACUAAUACAGAGGUUAACUUCAAAACAAAAAAAAAACUAAUAUAGAGAUUUAUUCUUUGUCUAUGGGACAUAGAGUUGUAUCUCUUGCUGAUUUAUGGGUUGCAGCGACCUUGCAUUUCAUGUGGCAUACUGUGGCAGAGUACAUAAUAAAGAUUAACAAUUAAUUGAAGAAACAAAAAAUUUCAAGAAAUAAAAGGCUUUCAUUUUUUUUAAAUGGUAACUCAAUUUUUUUACAUCAUAAAACUAAAGAAAUUUAUUUUAUUUUGGAAAAUAAGUAGUUAUAUUGAUUAAUUAAAAACUAAUUAACAAUUUGAUAGAUGAAUAAAUAGAGAUAAUCAAAGUAUAAGAGUUCAAAUUUUAAGUUGUAUUUUACUAUUUUUUUAAUCCCUUUUUCCUUAGCUUCUCUCCUAUACAAUUCAUUAUUAACGUUCAUAUACAUUUGUCGCACUUUUUAUACUUUUGGGGACUAAAUUUUGCAUUUUCAUCUUUCAGAGAUGCAUUUGUUAGUGAAGCGGGAAGACGAAAAGUCAAAAAAAAUAUUAUGACAAAUAUGCUCUUAUCCUGACAAUCCACAUUGACAAUCAUUUCAGUGACAAAUUUGUCCCUCCGUGCCACGUAGGCUAUUUUAUUAACGGUGAAAUAUGGAAGUUAACGGUCGAAUAUAUUUGUCGCACUUUUUACACUUUCAGGGACUAAAUUUUGUAUUUUCAUCUUUCAGGGACACAUUUGUCAGUAAAUUACACAUUGAGAGACAAAAUUGUAAGUACAUAUGUUGUAUGGAGAUUUUGAUGAUGCCAAAAGAUUAAAAACUAUUCAACAUUGAUUCAAGUCAAUAUCAAGAAAUCAAGAGAAAUGAUUUACAAUUGACAUUUAUAUGUUAAAAGAAUCUCUUAAAAAGGUUGCAAAGGUUUGGCCUUAAAAGACUUAAGCUUUCAAAAAUCUUAUAAAGUUUUUAAGUAACAAUUACAUUUUGAAAAAUAUGUAUUUCUCUCUGGUAAUCGAUUACCAGAGGCUGUAAUCGAUUACCUGAAGCAAAAAUGGUUUUAACAGCUUUCAGAAAAGUUUGAAUUUGAAAUUUAAAAGCUAUAAUCGAUUAUCAAUAACAGAAAAUUUUGAAAUUCAAACUGAAAAGGCAUAACUCCUCAAAAUUAACUGUGUAGUCGAUUACCACAUAUCUGUAAUCGAUUACCAGUGAGGAAAUUUUGAAAAUAAUUCUAAAAAGUCAUAACUCUUCACAAGUUUUUUGAAAGGUCACCAAAGGCCUAUAUAUAUGUGACUUGUAUUCGAAAUUCUUCAGAGUUUUUCAGAACAUUCAUUGUCCUAUCCUCUCACAAGAAAACCUUUGGACAAACACUUGCAAAAUCAUUAAGGAUUCUUAUAAGUUCUUCAAGCUGUAUCAUUCUUCUCUAAAAGAGAAAAAAAAACAAUCUUCUGUAUUUCAAAGCAAUCUAUUGUUAAUCAAGAGACAAUAGUUCUCUUGAUUUGUAAAGUUUUCUUAACACAAGGGAAGGGUAUCCCUGGGUGGUUGAGAAGUUGUAAAGGGAUUUACAAGUAUAGUGGAAAUCUCAAGUGGAUUACUUGAGGACUGGACGUAGGCAUAGGGCGUGACCGAACCAGUAUAAAACUGAGUUUGCAAUGCUCUCUUCCCUAAACUCUUUACUUUAUUGCAGUUUAAUUUUACUUUGCAUAUUUAAAGAAGCAUCGAGUAAAUUGUUCAUUAAUUCUUUUCUACAUAUUAAGUCUGCAUAUUUCUUUUAAAGAGAAAAUUAAAAUUUUGUUAGGGGAAAUUUUUAAACUUAAUUCACCCCCCCUCUUAAGUUAUUGAGGCCACUUGGUUAACAAGUGGUAUUAGAGCAUAAUUCUUCUAUAAGGUUUAGAAACUUCAAGAAUAGUCAUGACCUCAUCAAACUUUUUAUUUCCCGAAAGGAACUUUAUAAAUAGGCCUCCUAUAUUCAAUGGUGUGGGUUAUCAUUACUGAAAAACCUGUAUGCAAAUUUUCAUAGAGGCUAUUGAUUUAAACAUCUGGGAAGCCAUAGAAAUUGGUCCUUACAUCCCUACUACGGUAGCAGGAAAUGCAACUAUAGAAAAACCUAGGGAACAAUGGGAUGAAGAGGAAAAGAAAAUGGUACAAUAUAAUUUAAAAGUAAAAAAUAUAAUUACAUCUGCAUUGGGAAUUGAUGAAUAUUUUAGAGUUUCAAAUUGCAAGAAUGCUAAAGAAAUAUGGGAUACCUUACAAGUAACCUAUGAAGGAACAACGAGUGUAAAAAGGUCUAGAAUAAAUACCCUAACCCAUGAGUAUGAAUUAUUUGGAAUGAAUCAAAAUGAAACUAUACAUGAUAUGCAAAAGAGAUUCAAACACAUAGUAAAUCAUCUUGCAUCAUUAGGAAAGAUAUUUCCCAAUGAAGAUCUUAUUAACAAAGUUCUAAGAUGUUUAAGCAGGGAAUGACAACCAAAGGUAACGGCUAUUACAGAAUCAAGAGAUCUUACUAACAUGUCUCUUACAACUUUGUUUGGAAAGCUUCAAGAACACGAAAUGGAACUCAUGAGACUAAAUCAACAUGAGGAAAAUGACAAGAAAAAGAAAGGAAUCGCACUUAAAGCUUCAUCUUCAAUUCAAGAAGGAAGUGAUAAUGAAGAUUUGAAUGAAAUAAAGGAAGAUGAUGAUUUUAGUUUCUUCGUAAAGAGGUUCAAUAAAUUUUUAAGAAACAAAGUAAACCAACGAAGAUCAAAUUUCAAACCAAAGAAAAAAGAAGAUUCAUCCUCUCUUCCAAAGUGUUAUGAAUUUAAUCAACCAGGACAUCUUAGAGUUGAUUGCCCAAGUUUCAAGAAAAGAAUAGAAAGAUCUGAAAAGAAAACCUUCAAUGAUAAGAAAGCAAAAAAGGCUUACAUCACUUGGGAAGAUAACGAUAUGAAUUCAUCCGAAGACUCAGAAAAUGAAGUUGCGAAUAUAAGUUUGAUGGCAAAAAAUUAUGAAAGCGAUGAAGACAUAACAUCUUCUAACAAUAACUUAUCUAUUUCCUUUGAUGAAAUUCAAGAUGCAUUCACUGAUUUACAUAAAGAAUCAGUCAAACUUGCAAAACUAGUUUCAUUUUCUAAGAAAACUAUUUCAAACUUAGAAAAGGAAGUUUUAAAAUUAAAUGAAGAAUUAGAAAAUCUUAGAACUGAAGUCAAAAAUUUAAAACCAAUUGACACAAAUCAAUCUUCCACCAUAGAAGUAAUAAAUGAUAGUAAAGAAGUAUCUAAUUCAUGUAAUUGUUGUAGCAAGUUUAUAAAAGAAAUCAAGGAUCUAAAAAAUUCUCUUUCAAAAUUUACUAUUGGCAAAAAUAAUCUAGAUAUUAUAUUAGGAAAGCAAAGAUGUGUGUUUGAUAACGCUGGAUUAGGAUAUAAACUUGAUAAACAACAAAAAUUAUAUAAAAAUUUAUUUGUAUCCACUCAAAAGAAUAGUUCUCAUUUCUUAACUUGUUUUUACUGUGGAAAGAAAGGACAUGGUUCAUCUACAUGCUAUUUUAGGAAAAAUAGUAAAUAUUAAAAUGAUAUGGGUUCCAAAAGGAUCUUUUAUCAAAACUAAAAUUCAAAGACCCAAGAAAGUUUGGGUACCUAAGUCAUAAACAUGAUCAUAUAGGUUUCUUUGAAGAAGAGUUGGUACAUUGAUAGCGGAUGCUCUAAACACAUGACGGGAGAUGUAUCGAAGUUCACUCAUAUUUCUCCCAAGAAUAGUGGACAUGUGACUUAUGGUGACAAUAACAAAGGUAGAAUCCUUGGAGUCAGAAAAAUAGGUACGAAUUCAUCUACCGCCAUUGAAAAUGUUCUACUUGUUGAUGGUCUUAAGCACAGUCUACUAGUCAAUUAUGUGAUAAAGGCUAUCUAGUAUCAUUUGACUCUCAUAAUUGUGUUAUUGAAAACAAACAUGAUAGAAAUAUAAAACAUAUAGGUUAUAGAUCAAAUAAUGUUUACAUGAUAAAUUUAGAUAAAACACCAAAUCAUGAUCAAUGUUUUCUUAGUAAAGAUGAAGAUCCUUGGUUAUGGCAUAGAAGAAUUGCCCAUAUAAACAUGGAACAUUUAAAUAAACUAAUUUCUAAAGAUUUAGUUAUUGGUUUACCAAAACUUCAAUUUGAAAAAGAAAGAUUAUAUGAUGCUUAUCAAAAAGGAAAACAAGUAAGGGUUUCUUUCAAAUCAAAGAAUAUUGUGUCUACAACUCAACCCUUACAACUUUUGCAUAUGGAUCUUUUUGGCCCCUCUAGAACUAUGAGUUUUGGAGGAAACUACUAUGCUCUUGUUAUAGUUGAUGAUUACUGCAGAUUUACAUGGACAUUAUUUCUCACUCAUAAAAGAGAUGUUUUUCAUGCUUUCAAGAAAUUUGCUAAAAUAUUCAAAAUAAUAAAAAUCUCAAAAUUGCAUCUAUUAGGAGUGAUCAUGGAGGAAAAUUUGAAAAUAAGGAUUUUGAAUCAUUUUGUGAUAAAAAUGGCAUUGAAAAAAAAUUUUCUGCACCUAGAACCCCUCAACAAAAUGGAGUUGUUGAGAGGAAAAAUAGAUCUUUAGAAGAGAUAGGCAGAACUUUACUUAAUGAUACAAUCCUUCCUAAAUAUUUCUGGGCUGAAGCUAUAAAUAUUGCAUGCUAUAUAAUGAAUAGAGCUUUAAUUAGACCAAUCGUGAAGAAAACUCCAUAUGAAUUGUAUAACGGAAGAAAAUCGAACAUUUCUUACCUUCAUGUGUUUGGAUGUAAAUGUUUUGUGCUAAACGACGACAAAGACAAUUUAGGUAAGUUUGAUGCAAAAUCUAAUGAAGGUAUAUUCCUUGGUUAUUCCUUGCACAGUAAAGCAUUUAGAAUUUAUAACAAAAGAACCAUGAUUGUUGAAGAAUCUAUCCAUGUUGCUUUUGAUGAAACUAACCCAAUUUUGCCAAGAAAGGAUACUCUAGAUGAUAUUUCAUAUUCUUUAGAAGGUAUGCAUAUUCAUGGUGAAGAGCACAAAGGAAAAGGAAAGGGAAAUGAUGAAGACUUUCAAAUUGAUGAAACAAAAACAAAUACAAAUCUUCCAAGAGAGCGAAGAACUUCUAGAUAUCAUCAUCUUGACAACAUCAUCGGUGACAUAUCUAAAGGGGUAACAACUAGACACUCUCUCAAAGAUGUUUGCAAUAAUAUGGCUUUUUUUUUCUUUGAUUGAACCCAAAAAUUUAAAAUAAGCCAUAAUUGAUGAACACUAGAUUAUAGCUAUGCAAGAAGAGUUAAAUCAGUUUGAAAGAAAUAAAGUUUGGGAAUUAGUUGAGAAACAUGAUAAUCAUCCUGUUAUAGGAACAAAAUGGGUAUUCAAAAUCAAAUUAGAUGAACAUGGAAUAGUAAUUAGAAAUAAGGCUAGGCUAGUAGCCAAAGGAUAUAAUCAAGAAGAAGGAAUAGAUUAUGAGGAAACAUAUGCUCCAGUAGCCAGAUUAGAAGCCAUUAGAAUGUUAUUAGCCUUUGCAUCCAUAAUGGACUUUAAACUUUAUCAAAUGGAUGUGAAAAGUGCCUUUUUAAAUGGUUUUAUCCAAGAAGAAGUAUAUGUGGAUCAACCUCCUGGCUUUGAAAACUCAGAAAAGCCUAAUCAUGUCUUUAAACUGAAAAAGGUUUUAUAUGGAUUAAAACAAGCCCUUAGGGCUUGGUAUGAACUUUUGAGUAAAUUUCUUUUAGACAAGGGUUUUUCAAAAGGUAAGGUUGAUACUAACCUUUUUAUUUAAAAGAAAUUGAAUGAUAUACUCUUAGUACAGAUAUAUGUUGAUGAUAUUAUUUUUGGUUCAACUAAUGAUUCUCUUUGCAAAAAAUUUUCUCAAGAUAUGCAAAAUGAAUUUGAAAUGUCAAUGAUGCGUGAGUUAAACUUUUUUCUUGGACUACAAAUCAAGCAAACAAAGAAUGGAAUAUUUAUCAGUCAAUCAAAAUAUUGCAAAGACCUGAUUCACAGAUUUGGGAUGGAAAAUGAUAAACAUAUGGCUACUCCAAUAAGUAUUGUUUGCUAUCUGAAUAAAGAUGAAACCGGUCAGUCAAUAGACAUAAAGAAAUAUAGAGGUAUGAUCGGAUCUCUUGUUUAUUUAUCUGCAAGUAGACCUGAUAUAAUGUUUAGUGUUUGUAUGUGUGCACGAUUUCAAGCAAAUCCCAAAGAAUCUCACCUUAGUGCAGUUAAGAGAAUCAUGAGAUAUUUAUUAGGCACUAUUAAUCUAGGAUUAUGGUACCCUAAAAAUUCCACUUGUAAUCUAAUAGGAUAUUCUGAUUCUGAUUUUGCCGGUUGCAAAACUGAUAGAAAGAGCACUAGUGGAACCUGUCAUUUCAUUGGCUCUGCUCUAGUUUCAUGGCAUAGUAAGAAACAAAAUAAUGUUGCUUUAUCCACUACUGAGGUGGAAUAUAUUUCUACUAGCAGUUGUUGUGCACAUAUACUUUGGAUGAAACAACAACUUUCUGACUAUGGAUUAAUUCUUGAUCAUAUUCCCAUUCAAUGUGAUAACACAAAUGCAAUAAACCUAUCCAAAAAUCUUGUUCUGCACUCGAGAACCAAGCAUAUUGAGAUUAGGCAUCAUUUCUUGAGAGAUCAUUUUCAAAAUGGGGAUUGUGUACUAGAAUUCGUUGACACAAAGAAUCAAUUAGUUGAUAUCUUUACAAAACCUCUCUUAAAAGAAACCUUCUUUGCUAUUAGAAGAGAAUUAGGACUCCUAGAUAUCAAUGACUUAGAUAAAUAGUUAAUUUGUUUGUUUAUUAUUUUCUUUUCUUAUGAUUGUUAAACUUUUGAUUGUCCUUGAUGAUUGUGUUUGCUUUUAAUGAUUAUUGUUGAUUGAGGUUUAAUGAUUGAUUUUUCUUGAGUUUUGAUUGUCUUUGAUGAAUAUGUUUUGAUAGUUAUGAUGAUUGUUAAUUGUUGUUGAUGAUUGUUGUUGAAAUUUUGAUUAUCUUUAAUGUAUAUGUUUAAGAGUUUUGAUGCUUGUUUUGAUUGUAUAUUUUGAUUGUUGAUUGUUAUUGAUGAUUGUUAUACUAAAUGUGUGUUUUGUGAGUGAAAAAUAGUUAGAUUUUUAUGAAAAAUCCAUGUCUUUAGGGUCUGGUAAUCGAUUAUCAUUCCCUGUAAAUCGAUUACCAUGAGUUGUAAUUGAUUACCAGAGGGCUUGGUCAGUUACGGGUUACACCUGUAAUCGAUUAUCAUGAGCUGUAAUCGAUUACAACUCUUCUCUGUCUAUAAAUACUGCAUUUUUCUCUCUCCUUGUGCAACCCUCUUCUCCUUCACUCUCCUUGACGGUGCCUCUUCUUCUCAAAACUUCAAAUCUCCAUAACUUUCUCAUUUCUUGUCCAAAUCACUUUAAACAAAGCUCAAAUUUCUUCUUUUUCAAUUCUCUACAAAGCCCACAGAUUAGAAUUUGUAGAAAUAAGCUCAAAUGGCAGAAUCCUUGAAGAAGAGAAAGGGAUCCUCCUCCACCACCACCGCUACAGGCCAAUGCCGCCACGGCACAUCCGGUGACCCACCAGCACUAAAUCCUCCUUCCUUUUCAUCUCCCUGGUCAUUAACUCUAUUUUCUUCUGAUGACCAGUGUCAAAGGUAUUAUUCCCAAUUCUCCAAUCGUGUCAUUCUCGAUCCUAAGUAUUUAGAUGUAGAAUUCUUUGAUGGUGAAACCUUUGAUUGCUAUCAAGUGUUUCAAAAUUCUGAAUUAGUUGAGUUUAUGUCUCUGAAAUUACCAUAUUAUCUUGAAUUAGUUAGAGUCUUUUACAAUAAUUUGAAAAUUCAGGAUGGAGUCAUUUUUUUCUAAGGUGCAUCAAAUCCCUAUUGUUAUUGAUCAAUCUCUAUUUUAUUCUUUGACUAAACUGAGUAGUCAGGGUGUUUCUUUUGAGGGCACUCUAGUUGAUGACUAGAAGCAUGUCUAUUCUAGUCAUGAUGCCCGUAAAAUGGUCUGCAAUGACCAUGCUGAUAUGACCGGCAGAUUGUUUGCUGAGUCAUUCACCUUUGAGUAUCGCAUCAUUUAAUCUUGUUAUGGUCUCUUCAAGCCAGUCGUCAAAUUGGUUGGGCCCAUCUUGUUAGUUAUCGAAUGCAUAAGGCAUUAUGGGCCAAUGCACCUCUUUCUUAUCCUCAUCUUGUUACUUUGUUUCUUCCACAUUUCAAUGUUUCUUUAGAGGAUGAACCUUUUGUUAAGGUUAAAAGAUCUUUUGCUAUUAGUGUUGGUGCUGUUACUUCUUUCGGAUACCAGAAGGAUAUGGAUGGCCAAUGGAUGACAUAAUGCAUGAUGCGAUACUAAGCUACGAGAUCUUCAAGCAUUUGUCGGCGAUAGCUUCAAUGCCAUGGACUCCCGUAUCACGCGUCUUAAAGACGACAUGAGCUUCAUCUGACGUUGCUUUGAUCCUCCUAUGGAUUCUUAGACGUUUCUAGUAUUAUCAGUUCUUAAUUUUCUAGACAUUUUUCUAUUUAUGCCUUGUAUUUGGCUUUAGUUAUUUAGCACUUUGGUUAAUUUUGUGUUUUGCUUUGGAUAUUUAGCUUUUGUUUUGCAAUGGAUGAUUGUUUUUUUUAUGAUGCUUGCUUUAGAUAUUUCGUGGCUUUGAUAUUUACUCCGGUCUUUUUGGCUUUUUGAUGCUGCCAAAGGGGGAGAGAAACUAAGGGUAGAUCUUAUCUAAAAACUAGGCAAUAAAUUGCAAAUUUAAGGGGGAGUAAGGGUGAGUGCACGCAUUGCAAAUCGUAUAUCGUUUAUCUUGUUUUCAGAUUGUUGUCAUCAUCAAAAAGGGAGAGAUUGUAAGUACAUAUGUUGUAUGGAGAUUUUGAUGAUGCCAAAAGAUUAAAAGCUAUUCAUCAUUGAUUCAAGUCAAGAUCAAGAAAUCAAGAGAAACGAUUUACAAUAGACCUUUAUAUGUUAAAAUAAUCUCUUAAAAAGGUUGCAAAGGUUUGGCCUUAAAAUAAUUAAGCUUUCAAAAAUCUUAUAAAGUUUUUAAGUAAAAACUACAUUUGUUAAAAUAUGUAUUUCUCUCUGGUAAUCGAUUACCAAAGAUUGUAAUCGAUUACCAUAAGCAAAAAUGGUUUUAACAGCUUUCAGAAAAGUUUGAAUUUGAAAUUUAAAAGCUAUAAUCGAUUACCACUAUUGUGUAAUCGAUUACCAGUAAUGGAAAAUUUUAUAGAGGAGGAAAAAAUGCAGUAUUUAUAGAGGAGGAUUCAUACGUUCCCCUGCUUUUGGGCUGUCCAUUUAUGCUCACUGCUAAAUGUGUCGUGGACAUGGGGAAUGGUAAUCUAGAAAUGAGUGUGGAGGACCAAAAGGUGACAUUCAACUUGUUUAAAGCGAUAAAGAACCCCAAUGAUUGCAAAACCUGCUUCAAGGUAGAGGCAGUUGAGUAGGGAGCAGAUUAUGCUGUGCAAUGUUUCACUAUUCAUUCACUGCUGGAAAAAGCCCUAAUGAAUGCCAUUGAAUGUUUGACCAAUGAUGAGGAGAAGGAUCUCAGGGCUUUUCUAGAAUAUUUAGACAGGUUGAAGGAGAUUCCCUCAUAGGAAUAUGCUUUUGAAGAAUUGAAAAAAGACUCUACAUUAGAGAAGCCUAAAGUUGAGUUGAAGGUCUUACCUCCUCACUUGAAGUAUUUUUUUCUUGAGGCAAAUGAUGUCAAACCAGUAAUCAUCAGUAAUGACUUCUCUUCAACUUAGGAAGCACAAUUAGUGGAGGUACUUAAGAAGUAUAAGGCAACAAUAGGAUGACACAUCUUUGAUCUUAAGGAGAUCAACCCAUCUUAUUGCAUGAACAAAAUCAUGAUGGAAGCUGAUUAUAGACCGAUGAAACAACCGUAGAGGAGACUCAACCCAUCCAUGAAGGAGGAAGUGCGAAAAUAAGUCAUCAAAUUACUUGAAGCAGGACUUAUCUAUCCGAUCUCUAACAAUGUUUGGGUGAUUCCAAUCCAAGUGGUUCCCAAGAAAGGCGGUAUGAUAGUGAUAUGUAAUGAGAAGAAUGAUCUCAUCCCUACACGGAUAGUCACCGAGUGGAGAAUGUGUAUAGACUACCACAAGCUUAAUGAUGCCACAAGAAAUGAUCAUUUCCUUUUGUUGUUCAUGGACCAUAUGUUAGAGCGGCUAGUUGGACAAGCUUUUUAUUGUUUCUUGGAUUGCCCCUUCAAUGUCUUUGCUUACAGAAAGAUGCCAUUUGGAUUAUAUAAUGCCCUUGCCACCUUCCAAAGAUGUAUGCUAGCCAUUUAUGUUGAUCUUGUAGAAAAAUGCAUUGAGGUGUUCAUGGAUGAUUUCUGUCUUUGGCUCUUCCUUUGACCACUGUUUAUCCAACCUGGAAUCGAUGUUACAGUGGUGUGUAGAAACCAAUUUGGUGUUGAACUAAGAGAAAUUCCAUUUCAUGGUCUAAAAGGGGAUUGCCUUAGCCCACAAUAUCUCAUCCCAAGGGAUUGAAGUGGACAAGGCAAAAAUUGAUGUUAUUGAGAAGUUGCCUCCACCUGUGAAUGUGAAAGGCAUCCGAAGUUUUCUCGGGCAUGCCAACUUUUAUCGAAGGUUCAUAAAAGAAUUCUCCAAAAUUGUCAAGCCAUUAAGCAACCUGCUGAACAAGGGUGAAGUGUUUAAGUUUGAUGAAGAGUGUUUAUUGGCUUUUCAAACUCACAAGGAGAGGCCUAUGUCAGUGAUGUGAUUCUUAUUAGGGACGGAUCACUUGGUACAGGUCACGAAAUCGAAUGAUGCCACUUUCAGAGAUGGAAGAUAAGUCAGGGGUAGAUGCCACAAGGAUUCAACCUUGAUAAGUCCAGAAUUAGCUUGAUAAGGAACCCAGAGAGAAGCUUUCACGAAUACACAAGGUAUUUUCUAAAAAAUGCCAAAAAGUACCUUUCCUUCCAAAUGAGUUGAAUACAUAUAGUAUAACAUUAAAUUACUACAUUGACUGAAAUUGGUGCAGUUGAAAAGGCAUAGGAUUCAACUACCAAUUUAUUUAAUUACAUUUACAAAAUUGAAAAUAUUGGAUUCUUGGGAGUGUCUCUGGGCCUUCGUUCUUCUCCACUUGGGCCUUGUCAAGUAUGGUUGCUACCAUUUGUUGGAGGGCAUCCUUUGAUUGUUUGGUCCAAUCCCUGGUUAUAGGUCCCUGUAUUUGGGCAGCUUUGGGAUUCUCAUCAGUCAGCCCCUGUGAUUGUGGCCCCAAAUUGGAGUCAAGAGUUUGCGUUGAUUUGUGAUGCUAGUGACUAUGCAGUGGGAGUAGUGCUAGGACAAUAGAGGAAUAAGGUGUUUCAUUAAAUUUAUUAUGUGAGCAAGGUCCUAAAUGAUGCACAGUUGAAUUAUGCCACCACAGAAAAAGAGUUGCUAGCUAUUGUAUAUGCAUUUGAGAAGUUUAGAUCAUACUUUAUUGGCUCCAAGGUCAUCAUUUUCACAGAUCAUGCGGCAAUUAAGUAUCUUCUGACAAAGGUUGAUUCCAAGCCUAGGUUGAUUAGAUGGGUGUUGCUGCACUAAGGGUGCGAGAAUUUGGUGGCUGAUCACCUAUCUAGGUUGGUGAAUGAAGAAGUCACUCAGGAGGAGAAAGAGAUUCGUGAUGAGUUUCUAGACGAAUCCCCGUUGUCUGUGAGUGAGUGGCCUUGGUUUGCAAACAUUCCCAACUUCAAAGCAAUUGGAAUCAUCCCUAAUACUCAUAAUUGGCAUCAACGAGAUAAGUUUCUCCAUGAUACACAUUAUUAUGUUUGGGAUAAUCCUCAUUUGUUCAAACUUGGAGCAAAUAACUUGCUAAGAAGGUGUGUCACUAAGAAGGAGGCCAUGAGUAUAUUGUGGCAUUGUCACAAUUCUCCCUAUAGAGGACAUUAUAAUGGGGACCAGAUUCUUUUGGCCCUCUAUUUUCAAGGAUGCCUAUGAGCAUGUGUUGCAUUGUGAUCAGUGUCAAUAAACUGAGGGUAUUUCUCGAAGAAAUGAGAUGCCCCUGCAAAAUAUUAUUGAAGUAGAAGUGUUUGAUUAUUGGGGUAUUGACUUUGUAGGUCCUCUGCCAUCCUAAUACAGUAACGAAUAUAUACUGGUGGUUGUGGAUUAUGUAUCAAAGUAGGUAGAAGCUAUUGCUGCUCAGAAGAAUGACACUAAAACCAUCAUUAAGUUCCUUAAGAAUAACAUUUUCUCCCGCUUUGUAGUCCCAAGAGUACUCAUAAGUGAUUUUGGGUCAUACUUCUGCAAUGCAUAACUGCAGAAGGUCUUGGGGCACUACAAUAUCAGGCAUAAGGUUGCUUCUCCUUAUCAUCCCCAGACAAAUGGUCAAGCUGUGCUAUCCAACAGGGAAUUAAAGAAGAUCCUUGAGAAGACUGUUGCAUCUUCAAAGAAGGAUUAGGCUGUGAAAUUAGAUUAUGCCUCAUGGGCCUAUAGAACUACUUUUAAGACCCCAAUUGGUUUGUCUCCAUUCCAGAUGGUUUAUAGGAAGACUUUUCACCUCCCAGUAGAGAUGGAGCACAAGGCUUAUUAGGCACUCAAGUUCCUUAACUUUGAUGAGUCCUUAGCGGGGGAGAAGCAAAAGUUGUAACUACUGGAGCUGGAAGAAAUGAGGCUCAAUGCUUAUGAAUCCUCCAAAAUUUACAAGUAGAAGAUGAAAGCCUAUCAUGACUAGAAGCCGAUGAAGAAAAUCUUCCAGCCUGGACAGCAGGUUCUACUGUUCAACUCCCGGCUCAAGCUUUUCCCUAGAAAGCUCAAGUCCAGUGGUAUGGCCUAAUCACAAUCAAAGACAUGAAGCAUUAUGAAACAAUUGAGCUGAUGGACCCCUCUUCUACUAACUAAGAGCGUAACUGGAUAGUGAAUGGCCAAAGGUUGAAAGUCUACAAUGGUGGCGAUAUUGAUAAAUUGACCACCAUCAUCCACCUCCAUGACCUGUGAGGGUGUUUUACGUCAAGCUAGUGAUAUUAAAGAAGCGCUUACUGGGAGACAACCCAGGAUUUCUAACCUUAUUCUUCUGUUAUAUUAAUUCAUGUUGCUUUGAUCUAUGCAUGUGAAUUCUUAUGUUUGUGAAUAUUGAUUAACUUUGGUUACACAUUGACUUUCAAAAAUUAUGAGCUUGUUGUUGUUGUAGUGUGAUGUCUGCUCAAUUUUGGGUAUGCUCUGUAUGAUUAAUGUGGUGUAGUUGGUUAGUGUUUAAUGGUUGGUUGUUAUGCUUUGAAGAUGGUCACCUUACGCUCAAAGCGUGCUAAGCACAAGUGUGUUAUUAUGAUAGUUGUGCUUAAUUUGUAAGUCACACUAAGCCCAAAAUCCUCUCUAUUUUGGAAAUUUUCAAAUUGGGCUUAGCACGCACAUACUCGCUAAGUGCACAAAUUAGUUUGCCAAGACUCGCUUAGUUGUUGCAUCGCGCUAAGCCCAAAAACCUCUCUGUCUUGGGUCAAUUACUAAUUGGGCUUAGCGUGCAGGUGUAGGCUUCGCUAAGCGACCAUACGCGCUAAGCUAUACUAUGUGAAUGUAUGAAUACAUGGUUUUGAUGCUGCCAAAGAAUUAUCACAGAAGGUUGCUUUCAAGAUUACUUCAACAAACAUUCAAAGGUUAAGCACUGCUUCAAGACUAAUACAAGGUUGCUUCAACAAACAAGCAUUGCUUCAAGAUUAAUUCAAGAUCAAGCUUUUGCCUCAAAACAAGUGUUUCCAAGAGAUCAAGGCUCUGGUAAUCGAUUACCAGGCAGUGUAAUCGAUUACUAGAAGACGAUUUUGAAAAUCAGCUUUUAAAAAGAGUUUUGAAUUUGAAUUUUGAAUCAUGUAAUCAAUUACCAGAUGUUUGUAAUCGAUUACUAGCAAUGACACUUCAAAAAAUACUUUGAAAAGUCACGACCCUUCAAAAUAUAAUUGUGUAAUCGAUUACCAGAAACCUGUAAUCGAUUACCAAUGAAGAAUUUCAGAAAAACUUUUUGAAAAGACACAUCUCUUCAAACCAUUUUGAAAAGGCACGAAGGGCCUAUAUAUUUGUGUGUCUGACUUUGAAAAUCAAGAGAGAGAUAUUCUAAGAGAACUUAAUUUCCUAAUGCUCUCUCAACAACUCUUGGGCAAACACUUGCAAAUCUAUUGAGAAUUCAUCCAGGAACUUCAAAUUGUAUUAUCAUCUCUAAAAGAGAGAAAAUCCUCUAAGAACUUCAAUUUGUAUCAUCCACUAUAAAGGAGAGAAAUCUUUCUGUUCAUCUCAGAAAGUCAGUUUUAAUCAAGAGACAUGAGAAUUAUAAUCAAGAGACGGGUUGUCUCUUGGAUAAUCUUUGAACACAAGGGUGAGGGAUCCCAAGGUGUGUUCAAAGUAUGUAAAGCAUUUACAGAGAUAAUGGAAAAUCUCAAGUGGGUUGCUUGAGGACUGGACGUAGGCACGGGAAGUGACUGAACUAGUAUAAAUCGAGUUUAUAUUUCUCUCUUCCCUUAUCUCAUUUAUGUUAUUGCAAUCAAUUUUGUCUUGCAUGUUUAAAGAACAUUAUUAAAUCGAUUACUGCUUCUUCUUUUGCAUUCUGAGCCUAUCAUUUAGAAGGGGGUUAAAAGUUUGUUAGUGGGAAAUUUUGAAACUUAAUUCACCCCCUCUUAAGUUAUUGAGACCACUUGUCCAACAUACUACACCUCUGUAACUUCAAUGCAAUAAUUGGCUACGCAUAACAUCACAGGCUAAGUAAGCCACUUGUUCUUGCUAAGCACUCAUAGCCUGCUAAGUGAAAGUUGUAGGCCAGAUUUCACCUGCAACUCUAGCUAAGCCAGAGAGGCACGCUUAUCCCAAAACACUCUCAGGUUAGUAAUUUCAUGAAUUGGGCUUAGUGCUCGAACAUGCGCUAAGUGCGGCCUUGUUUAAAAAAAUUUGAAAUUCAAAAUGAAAUAAGAGGGGAAAGACCAAAGGACAUCGUCAUUGGUGUGAUAAGCGGGUCAUACUCGUUAAGCACGAGGACCAUCAAUGCACCUGCAAGUGUUAGUGCUUGUAGGCUUAGUGUGAUUCUCGUGCCAAGCGCACAAGCCAUAACAACAGAAUAGUUUUGAAACAACUCUGUCUUCCUUAUCUUUUGCCUUCUUUUUUUCUUCAUUUUUCCCACGAACAUUUCUUCCCCACUCUUCCACUUUCAGAUAAAUCUUCUUUUGUCUUCCAUGCUUUCAUUGAGCUCUCUUGCUUCCUCAUGCCCUCAUUACUUUUGUUUUGUUUUUAUUUUAUCUCUCUAUGGCUCUGCAUGUGUACUUGUUACUUGUAUUGCACUCCCAUGUUUUUUAUGUUGUAUAUGUAGUCCUCGUUAAUUUUGUUUUUCUGUAUACUUGUGUUCAUGCUUUUUUAUUUCUAGAAAAGUCGUGAACUCGCUAAGCCAGACCUUUGCGUUUAGCGAGCUCAUGCAUUCUGGGUUUUUGUAUGCAUUUCUAGAAUUUUUUAUGAACUCGUUAAGCCUGCAUCCCGCGCUUAGCGAGUUCAUAUGUCUAUGUAUUAAUGUGUAUGCCUUCCUGGGUUUGUGUUCUUUAUCAUUUAAAUGUUCAUCAAUAGUUAGCAAAUCUGGAAUUUCCUAGACUCUAUCGCUCAUUAAGCGAUGUAUGCACUAAGUGAGCACCUUGUUUCUGUGUUUUUAGUAUCUGAGCUUAGCGUCGUUUACGUGCUAAGCUCACAAGUCGUUUCAAUUUUCUAUAAUUCCUUUUUUCUUCUUAUGCAUGGGCUUAGCUCCAAUUAUGCGCUAAGCCCUAGUGUCUUUUUGUCUUCCCAUGCACGGGUUAGCACAUACCACGUGCUAAGCCAAAUCAUUAAUAAAUAUUGUAUCACUUGGGCUUAGUGCGUACCCUCGUGCUAUGCCCAAUUUCUCCUCUGUCUGAUGAUUGAGCUAAGUGUAUUGUUCGCGCUAAGCCCAAGUUUUAUUUUUAGGUCCCAAUUUUGCAUUGGGCUUAGCAAGCCAAUCGUGCUAAGCCCAAAACCCUCUUUGUUCGCUUAUUUGCAAUGUUUGGGCUAAGCGCGUAUCCUCUUGCUAAGCCUCUCCUCGCUUUUGCUAGAGUGGUGCUCAGCACCUAGAUGGGAGCUUAGCACCCAAUCAUUGCAUGUUUCCUUUACUUUUACCUUUUUACUUUUACAUUUCACUAUUUAUCUUUUUCUUACCAGUUCUUGUUGUCUUUCUUUUUGCAGAUGGCCUCUAAGAAACGUCGAGCUUCCACCAGUAGACCUCAGGGGGUGGAACCCAUAUGGGACUCCACCAGAUUCACAUUGGAGGUGGCUUGGCAUCGAUAUCAGAAUAACAUUCAUCUUUGAAACAUUUUUAUGGAGAGGAACAUGGAGUUGGCUUACACACAGUAUGACAAGUUUUUGGAGGAGGCACUGGCACAGGAAGCUCACCUGACUGCCGGAGAAAAACAUUGAUGUGGCACUUGUGAAUGAAUUUUAUGCAAAUAUCUAUGACCCAGAAGACGGCUCGCCCAAGCAAUGCAAAGUGCAAGGGAAGCUCAUCCGGUUCGACGCUUAGAUGUUGAACACCUUUCUGGAGACACCGAUAGUCCUUCAGGGGGGAGUGGUACCCCAUUUUCUCUCAAUUCCUCCACGUGUAUCCCGACCAUCAGGCCAUUGCGGCAAAGCUGUGUACGCCGGGAGGCCAACUUAUGCUAAAUGCCAACUUAUGCUAAAUGCAGCAGGGCCCUCUUAGAAGAUUCUGCAAAAAGACUUGACCACUCUAGCUCAGACACGGAGCGUCCUUUCUUACUUUAACUUGGCUCCCACCUCCCACACCUCAUACUUGAACAUGGACUAAGCCCAACUGAUAUACGAGAUUAUUAUGAAGAUGGAUAUGGACUUGGGCAGUAUGAUCUCCUCUCAAAUCACUCAGAUUGCCCAGUCCAACUUUUCCCAGCUUAGUUUCCCUACGUUGAUCACCGCCCUCUACGAUGCCAAGGGAGUUUCUUCAAACACCUUGACCUUUGAGUUCCUGAGCCCCAUCAUCAACCUUGCUUAUAUCUAGAAUAAUUGUUGGAACCUAGCAUAUACUUUUGUGGUUUUUUUAAGGCCAAAUAAAGCUUAGGCUUGUGCCAUUCCAGAUGCUCCCUCCCUCGGUCCCACCAUUAGUCAUCCUUCCUCCAAUCUCCACUCCUCUUUCCUUUCUCUUUACUCCUCAUAAGUAGUUUCUUCCCAUGAUGACAAAUCUUCAUUAGGGACAAUAUUUUCUUAUGCAGAGUCUUCAUCAGAUCUUCCUUUAUCAGCAGGUUAUGACGCCAGAGGCCUUCCUCUACGGGGGGGGGGGGGGGGGUUGCUGCCUCUAGAGCUGGAGCUAACGUAGGACCAUCUGGUGAGGAUGAUGUUGUAAAGGCCUGAGAUGAUGAUGAUUAUAUCGUCGAUGUCUAUUUACGCCCCAGUGUUACUUGUUAUUAUGGAUGCGUAAAUCUAACUGGCAAGUGUACCAAGUCAUGCAAGUAAUAAUAAAACGGUAAAAACUGAGUAUCGAUCUCAGGGAACUUGUUCAUUUGGUGAACUCUCAUUCAAUCAGCAGACAUUUGUACAAAGAAUCAAUAAUCAUGAAUCAAACAAAGAUGUAUUAUACUCUAAUGAUUAAUAACUGAAAAUAUGAGCAAGUGGGUGUUAAAAUAGAUAAUUAAAAAUGUCAGGUCCUCCUACUGAGUUACUUGAUGCAAUUAAGAUUUUUCUCUAUUUAAAAAUGUUCAUGUGUUCUAUGCUGAGGACAAAAUUUUCAAACAUCGAUGUCUUGCAUGAUUGGGCUAACUCUAAUUAAACCUCAUUCUCGGAUGUCUCGUCGAACUUAGCUUAACUGAACAACAUUAAGGUCACAGCAUAAUAAAACUAAAUUACCGCACUCUGUGUCCAGACAUACGAUAACCUAGCCCAUUCUAUCUAGUUCUAAGGAUGUUGCACAUUUUCCAAUGCUAAAGCUCCUAACUUUACAUACAAAUGGGCGAUCAAGCAACAAGCAUGCAGCACAGAUAGAAACAUUGAACACAUAAAAACAACUUUAAAUAGAUAGGAUAAGGAUUUACAUCAAGUUCUUAGCAGAAUUCCCCAACAAGGGGUUUAGCCUUCCAUCACAAGGUAGCAUCUUUCACAAGCAGGAAAUGGGUUUUCAGAGAAGAUAAUAGAUUACACAGUGGUGGGGAUGUCUCCUCCACCUCUAUGAACCUACAAAAUAUCCUAAAACCUAUAAUCCUCCUAAAAGCUAAGGUUUUUUGCUUCCUUGCUCUGUUUGGCGCCUCUAUUCUUUGCUCUUCACACUCUAUCUGCCAAGCUCUCUCUUUUCUCUUCAUUUUAGGCUUAAAAAGGGCUUUUUGACCUCAAAGGCAUGCUUAGCGCCAUUUUCGCACUUAGCGCGAGUAAGUGAUAUUUGGCUGAGCGAACCAGGCGCGCUAAGCGCCAAAAGAGACAGAUGACUCGUUGGGCGAGUUGAUGACGCGCUGAGCGCGUGCUUGCAUGACAGAUUCCCUUCAAGAUUCUUCUUACUCGUUAAGCGAGCUGCUGCCUCACUAAGCAAAUGAUACUCGCUAAGCACACGGUCUCGACUUAGUGAGACAGUAGCUUCUGCACCUUCCAAUUAUUCUUCUUUUUACCUGAAAUUGAAGUGAAAUUUACAUUAAUUUCAUGUGAAGAGCCUCUACUGAGCAAAGAUAAAAACUAAACAAGAAAUAUUUACAAUCCUACAAAACGAACCAUAAAUUGGGUAAAAUAAAUAUUUUGGAAAACUUUUCUAUACAAAAGUUAGUCGUAUAUGACGACUAACAAUGUCACAGCUGCUCAGGGAGCAUGAGACCCGUGACCGACACAGGAUUAGGGCCAUCUUUUUAUCAAGACUUCUCUUUAUUUUUCGUAUUUAUGACGGUUAUUUUGUUGUAGUUAUUUUUAGUACUUUUAAUUUACUUUCUGCAUUGUGGACAACAAUUAAUGAUAUGUUUUGGGUUUGGUUGAAUUGACACUUUUUGGAGGCAUGUUUGGCUGAAUCGAUUGCAUGAAUGAGAUAAAGUGUGUACUGACGAGUAAUGUUUUGGAAUUUCUGAUUUUCGAGUGAGCACGCGUUGUUGUUGAGUGAUGGGUUGUGAAUUAAAUAUGCGUGAGUGAGUCGGUUAGCUUGCAUGACAGGAGAUUGUGGAUGAAAAACUAAAUGCUUUGCAUUACCGUGUGAGUUUUGUGCACCAUAAUUGCGAGAGAACGAUUGAUUUUACUUUCUCGAUUUUGCAUGAUUCUUGAUAUUCUUGAGUGCAUACUUGAUGUGGAUAUAAUAAAGGCCUUGUUGUUUAUUUUUAAUUUCAGCCACUUAGCCAAUAGUUAACCCUGUUGUAAAUGAAUGAUUGAAUCCCUUGCACCCUCUUGAGCCUAAAUGUGAAUGAAUUUUGUCAUUAAACCCUGAGCUAAAUGCAAAUGCUAAUGUUGUGCACCCUAUCUUAGGUUAUAAGUGAGCAUUGUUAUGGAUCGAGCUAAAUUUGUUCCAAAUUUAGGGGAGUGUCUUGGGUAAAUUCUAUUAUAGGGAGAUGAGUAACAAUUACACAUAAAACCAUAACUACAUUCCUUGGUAGUGCCUAAAAAAACUGAAAGCAAAUGUAUAUCAAGGAAUCCAUGUGUGAUGUUAAGUGUGGCAUGAUAAUAAAGGUUUGAUGGUUACGAAAAUAGAUAGGGAAUGGGUGAAUGCUCUCCUAGAACCUAAGUGUUUGAAUCUGAGAAAAACCAUGAUUUCCUUGUUAACCCGACCAUGUUACAAGCCUAAUAAAGUCCUUAGUGAUCCAUAUUAUGUGUGUGAUUGCAUUGGAUGAGAUGAUGUGCAAAUUUGAGAAUUGUAACUUCAAUUGGUUUGAAUGAAAUACAUAUAACUGAAACACUUGUGUGCUUGAGAGAAACACUAUCUUUUUGAGGUGUGAAACAUGGUUGAUCUUCUUUGAUACCUGUCAUACUUGCUAACUUAUGUCCCCCCCACCCACCCCCCCCUCCCCCCCACCCCCCCAAAUUUCAAUAACAUUAUUAUUAGUAUUUGUUUAUCAUUUGUACUUUGUGUUCAAUUUUUUAUAGACUCUAAAUUAUAUAUUUAAUCAAAAAUUAUAAUUUUUUUCAUUUUUAUUAUUAGUAUUAUAUGUUAUUUUUUUAUAUUUUAUUAUUCUCUCUUUUUGAAGUAUAUAUAAGUACAUUUUCAAUAAAAUACAUUUUCACUUAAAAUACAUUUUGAAAUCCUAAAAUGUUUUAAAAUGCUUUUUGAUUUGGCCAUUAAAUUAUGUUAGAGAUCACUUUUGUUUUAUGUUUGCAUUAUAGGCCACCAACUUUUUUGUAACUUAAUAAUUUAAUAUUUGGUUAUAAUUAUGUGUUAUUGACAUUAUCGUUAUUUUUUUAUUUAUUUUAAAAGUAUUGCACAAUAAGAUUGAAACGUUAAAGUGACAAUAAUAUAAAAUUAACAUGGAAAAAAACCAUAUAAAGUACAUGACAAUAUUAAAACAUGAAAAAAAAAAUAAUACAAAGUACAUGAAAAUGUUAAAACAUGCGGAAAAAAUGUAAACCCAUUAUUAAUCAAUCAUAACUAUAUCUGUGAUGCCUCGACGAAGUCCCACAUGGCCGGUCCCAGUUUCUAGCUGCCCUAUCAGGAUUUCUUCUUCUACGAUUCGCCCUUUUAUCCACUUGGUCAGUCUCGGCAGAGAAAUCAUGACGUAAAUCGACCCCUAAUAAGUCGUCCAUGUCAAGUACAUUUCCAGGUACAUUCCACGGACGAGCAAGUGGGACAUUUGGGGUCGAUAGUUCACCACUUUGGAAAAAUGAAGGAGUUCCCGUUGAAGGAGGAGAGGACCCAAAUAUGCUGCCAAACUAUACCCUGGUUGAAAAUCAUGUUGGUAUGAAUACAUCGGUGGCAUCUGCGACGGUUCUUGGGUGAAUGUCGACGGUGUGUAAUACAUUCCAUGUUGUCGUUCUGGCAUCGGAGGCAAACUGUACAUUGCUACAUCAACAGUUUCCCAACGUCGCACUAAGCCUCGAGUCUCCACACUUCGCUAUAGUAUAUUAAACUGUUGAUGUUCAAAUUGUGGCUGAGAAGGGGGAGCAUCUUCAUGUGCCUCAAGUAUCCUAUACUCUUUGUCAGACAAAAGAGUGAUCUUCUCGAUACAUGACAGUAAAUCUUCAAAAGUACAAACCCUUCUCCCAAUAGGCGACAACAUAAAAUGUAGUGUUUCGGCGAUUUCACCCUGCAUAGAAAAUAAAGGAAUAGUUAUUAAAAUAAUCUUCAAUAAGCGCAACAUUGUUUUCUAAAUUAUAAUGAACAAUGUAUACCAAUAGUCCUCUUUUUGCAUGUUUUGGGUCGACAUAAACUUUUGUUUUACGCCUGUACCACCUCAUAUAUUCAGAGUUCAGACUAAGGGUCUCUGUUUAUGGCGGUGUUUGCUCUACUCUCCUUUCAUAGCUACUAUUCCAUUCAUUAAGCGCAGGUUACAUUAGUCGCAUCCAAUUUUUUCCUUCCUUUCCCUUUAAUGUCAAGUCAUGUAUGUUGUUGGGUUGCAUUACUGGGCCUGGAAUCGGCUGGUGCCACUCCACUUUUUGAAAACAAAUAAGUGGUAUGAUACAUGUCCAUAAUACAGACCCAAAAAAACAAACUUGACUCAAAUUCAUUUCCACAUGUCCAGAAUAAGGGACCCAGACAAACUGCAUAUAAAAGUUAAAUUUAAUAAAUUAAUUAAGAAUUACAACAUCAUUUAAUAAACAAACGUCAAAAUUGUUACCUCGUCGCGUUUCAUGACAUCUAAUUUACGACAAAAAUCAAGUAAAUUGUCAUUGCCUAUGUGAUGAAAUUCACCUCCCAACCAUUUUCACAAAAAAUUAAAUAACAAAAUAAAAUGUUACAUAAAAUAAUGAUUAACAUCAAUCAACCAUAUUUAUUAAUAAUCAAUUCAAAUUAGUAAAGGAAAGUAUACCUGAAGGCAAGUGGUGUGUUUUGUUGUUGUGGAGGAAUAACUGAUGGGGCUAACGUUGGGCAUCGUUCCCAUGCCCAUAAUUGAAUCAAGAGAGUGAAACCGCCUAUUGAUUUAGCAUUAUAGUCCGUUGCGAUGAACAUCUCUCUAUAAAGGUUACCCAACAGAGCAGCUCCCCAUGCAUAACUGCUACACUCUCUAAGGUUUCUCAAAAACUGCAAAUAUCUCAUUGGCACCCUUUUGCUGCUUUUGUCAACAAACAUCACCCCACCUAUGAAUCUUAAGAUCCAAGCACGAGCAAAUCUUUCAAGCCCUUCUUGGUUGCAUGUAAAAUCAUGAAUAUUUGCGAAAUGAGAAGCCAGCCAACUCAAUAAAAGUGAGUUCUCAUCAAAUGCAGCAUCGUCAGGCAUGACACCCAAUAAUUCAUGAUACAACUCAAACCAGUCAAUAUUUGUAUUUCCAAUUAAAGGUCUUCCAUCCACAGAAAUACCAAGUAGCACAGAAACAUCUUGAAGUGUAAUAUUUGCCUCCCCACACUUCAAAUGAAAUGUAUACGUUUCUGGCCUCCACCUUUCAAUAAAAGCAUUAACUAAUGCUCCAUUUACUUUCAACUGCGCGCCAAUUUCAUUAUCGGGUACAAACCGAAACUUGUAAUAGAGGAAUAAUUUCGUCGGGCGGUGCUUCUCUAUGAUUGUACAGUGGUGUAGCUCGUCGGAUUUUUAACAUCCUAUCAUCAGCACCAUUCCAAAUAUGCUGUGAUAUAUGUUUUUUUUGCAUCCACAAUAAAUCAUCCUCUAAUGGUCCAGAUGCCUCAUCAUACUGAAUAUUCUAAAAAAAUACAUAAUUUAAAUUUUAGAAAUGAACAUGUAAUUUAAGUAAAUGAAUUAUAAUGACAGUAAAUUGAAAUAAAAAAUUUCUUCAAAAUUAUUUUUUUAAUAUAUAAUGUCGAAGGUAGGUUAAAGAAAUUUGAUUUUAUGAAUUGUACGAGAUACAUGAAAUAAUAAAAAAGAAAACACACACACACACACACACACAUAUAUAUAUAUAUAUAUAUAUAUAUAUAUAUAUAUAUAUAUAUAUAUAUAGCAGCAAUUCAGGAAAGUGGAAUGAGACUUCAUUCUGCUUAUAAUUGAUACUAUAGGCCACUUCACAUUGAGGAAUUUUUUUUUUAAUUUUAACUUUUUAUUUUAAAAGUUAUUAAUUAUAAUUUAGAGUUUGAUUUUAAUUUUAAACUAUUGAUAUAUUGUAUCAAACUCAAUAUGCCUUUAUUUUUUAAAUACGCCCAAUAACAAUAUUACAGUAAUAUUUAUUAUCAAUCUUAAUUAAAAUUAUAUUCUAAAAAUUAAAAUUAUAAACCCAACAACAACAAAGUCUUACAAUUACAAAUAACAUAAAUUAUAAUUAAUAUCAUUAAAUAUUAACAAAAAUAAUAAUAUAAUAUUUAAAUAAGAAAUCAUAAAUAACAAUAUUAUUAUCUAUAAUUAUCUUCAACAAUAAUUAAAAUUUUUAUAUUAUUAUAAAAUAAAAAAUAAAUCUAACACACAAUAAAACUAACAAUAUUUAUUUCUACAAACAAAUUCACUAAAAUACAUAAAAUGCCUACUCUAUAGUUGUCUUUCCAACUGCAUUAUAUCUGUUUUUACCAACUGCAAUCUUAGCCCUUAAAAUAAUAAGUUUGUAUUGUAAAACAAUAACAGAAACCAUUGGAUCGAAACUGCAACCGCAGUUUAUAUUUGAACUCCAGUGGAUUCAAAUCCAGAAAAUAACAGAGGCAAUCAUCAACCUCAUGUUUGACCAACGACUGUAAAAGAAAGUUCUCGAUAAAACUUUGAUCAGGUAAAUACGUGUAGGAACUAGAACAUAUAGAAGCAAUCACCCCCUCAUGUAUAACCAAUGGGCAAUGGCUAUAAAUAGGCAACGAUGAUUCACAAGUGAAGCAGGCCUUGCCACAGCAACUUAACAGCCAUACCGUUCAUAUAUCUCUUUGUAUUACUAUUAUUCUAUUGAAAAAAAAAAUCGUCUUACAAUAUCUACUAGAGAAAGAGUUUAAAAAAUAUAUAAGUAGAAAUAACUCUCAUCUUAUAAAAUUGUAUGUAUUCAAAUCAUUAAAAUACAUUAAAAUCGAUACUCCAGCCCCAAAGUUGAGUGAAAUAAAAUAAGAUCUCAUAUUUAAUAGGUUAUAAGCUCGAAACCUCAUUCAUCUGUUUAAAAUGAGAUAAAUAUUAGUACGUCUCUCUUUACGUCUUUAGACUUUUCCUAUCUUAAGUUGGGAUAUUAUUCUCUGCCCUUAAAUUUUCCUUAAUAAAAAAAUCCAAACACUCCAAAAUUUUCCUGUGUUUUGUGGUCUAUUCAUUCUAGGAUAUAUGGAAAUAGGUAACAUAUCAACUUAUUGUUAAAAAGAACAAUGACAUACAAAUUUUAGAGAGAAUGUAUUUUUUCUUAAUAUUCAAAUUCAACUACUGCAGUUACAAAGUUACAAUAUAUAGACUACUGUAGUUACAAUAUAUAUUUAAAACUACUCCAUAUAACUAUUCCACAUAACUCCUAUUUACAAGAAACUACCACUAACUUCUUAACUUCUAUUAACUUCUAUUUACACGUCAACAUUUCCUCCCUUAAACUAAAAAGAAAAACAAACAUUUAGUUUAUAACUGACGCAUCAACCAUUCCCAGCAUACUUCGUAAUUUCAAGAAUUGUUUUAACUCUUGAGAGGUUUUGUCAUUAUGUCUGCAACCUGUUCUUGAGAAUUACAGUAACUCAACUCCACAAUUUUGUCUUUGGUCAAAUCUCUAAGAAAAUGAAACCUUAUAUCAAUAUGUUUGCUUCUGCCAUGAAAAACAGAAUUCUUUGAUAGUUGUAUAGUAGAAUUAUUGUCACAUUGAAUCAAAGUACUACUUUCCUCCUUAUGACCAAGUUUCUCUAAAACUCUUCUCAACCAAAUACACUGACAGGCACAAAACGCAACAGCUAUGUACUCAGCCUUAGUAGUAGACAAUGUCACUACAGGCUGUUUUUUAAAAGACCAUGAAACUGCUCCAGAACCAAGUAAGAAUACAAAGCUAGAAGUGCUCCUACGAUCAUCGAAAUCACCAGCAAAAUCACUGUCGGUGUAAGCCACCAAAUUUGUGCAACCAUCCUUUUUGUAGAAAAUUUCAAGCUCAGUUGUACCUUUCAAAUACCUUAAUAUUCUUUUUGCUGCAAGCCAAUGAGAUUCAGCUGGGCAAGACAUGAAUCUACUAAUAAGACUCACUUCAUACAUCAAAUCAGGUCGAGUUGCAGUCAAGUACAUCAGACUGCCAACUACCUGUUUGAACAAAGUUUCAUCAACUUUGGUUCCUGCUUCAUCCUUUGACAAUUUCGUGCCUGGAAUAAUAGGAUUCUUCACUGGAUUGGUUAUAUCCAUUCCAAACCUUCCUAGAAUUUCAUGAGCAUACUUUCUUUGACACACAAAAAUCCCAUCUAAACUUUGUAUUACUUCAAUCCCGAGAAAAUAUCUCAUCCUCCCCAAAUCAAUCAUGUCAAAUUCCAACAUCAUGGAAUUCUUAAAAUCAUCAUACAUACUUUUAUCAUUUCCAGUAUAUAUUAAAUCAUCAACAUAAAGACUUACUAUUAAAAUUUUACCUACUUCCUUCGACUUUGUGAACAGUGUGUGUUCACAUAAACACCUUUCAAACCCUUCUCGAACAAAGUAAGCCUCUAUCUUGCUAUACCACGCCCUUGGUGCUUGCUUCAAGCCAUACAAUGCCUUUCUUAGCUUGUAAACUUUGCCUUCUUCACCUUUCUUCUCAUAUCCCAAUGGUUGUUGCACAAAGAUUUCUUCAUUGAGUUCACCGUGAAGAAAUGCACUCUUUACAUCUAGUUGAAAAACAUCCCAAUUGUUUUGUGCUGCCAAAGCAAGUAUUAAUCGAAUGGUGUCAAGUCUAGCAACUGGAGCAAAAACUUUAGUAUAAUUAACUCCAUACUAUUGUGCAUACCCCUUCGCCACUAGCCUUGCUUUGUACUUGUCUACCUCUCCUUUCUCAUUAAGUUUGGUCUUGAAAACCCACUUAACUCCAAUUGGCUUCACCCCUUUCGAUAGAAUAGUUAACUCCCAAGUCUUGUUCUUUUCUAUUGACUCUAUCUCUGCCAUCAUUGCAUCCCUCCACUUCUUACUCUUGACAGCUUGUUCAAAUGUAAGUGGGUCAUCUUCAGUGAGCAUUAUCAUAGCAUUCAGACCAUCUUCAUCUGACAAACCUUCACCUGUUACAUAGUUUAUUGCCCAAGAUGGUGGUCUUCUUACCCUCCCUUCAUUCAGAAUUGGUGAAUCAUUUUCAGUUGAUUCACUAGAAGAAACACCAGUUUCACUUGAGUUUUCUUGUAUCAACAUCACUGCCUUCUCCUUCAAUGUUACCUUCUUCUUCAUUGUUUUCUAUUCCUUCUUCCAUGUUAUUCUCAUCGCCAUCAUCGUUCCACUUUAAAACAUCUGAUAUGCAUUCUUCAUUGCUUUUGCCCCAAUUCCAGCAUUCAUCUUCUUGAAAAAUCACAUCCUUGCUAAUGAUGAUUUUCUUGGAAAUUGGAUCAUAUAAUAUGUAUGCCUUUGAUUCAUCACUUACUCCAAAGAAAACACACUUCUUGCUUUUUUCAUCUAAUUUGCUUCUCUUCUGGUCUGGGACAUGUGCAUGAGCUACACACCCAAAAACUCGAAAAUAAUCAACCAUUGGCUUCACAUUGCUCUAUGCCUCUUCUGGAGUUUUGUUCUGCACAGCCAUAGUAGGACAUCUAUUGAGGAUAUGCACACUCCAUUUUACAGCUUCGGGCCAAAACAUUUUAGGAACCUACUUCUCAGCUAACAUAGAACUCACCAUGUUCAUUAUCGUUCUAUUUUUCCUCUCUGCAACUCCGUUUUGUUGAGGAGUAUAGGCUACAGUCAAUUGUCUACUAAUGCCUUGAUUUUUGCAAAAUUCUACAAACUCAUUUGAGGUAAAUUCACCACCUCUAUCUGUCCUCAAAGAAGAAAUAUAUGCACCGAUCUCUUUUUCAACAUGAGCUUUAAAAUUUCUAAACAUGGAAAAAGCUUCUGAUUUUUCAUGUAAGAAAUAAAUCCAAGUUUUACGAGUGAAAUCAUCAAUAAAACUUAGGAUGUACCUCUUGUUGCUAUUUGAUUCUGGUUUAAUAUGCCCGCAUAUGUCUGCAUGCACAAGUUGUAACUUGUUUGAUGCUCUCCAUAAACUCUUCUUAGGCAUAGAGUUUCUGUGUUGCUUUCCAGUUAAACAUUCUAUGCAUAUCUUCUUUGGAAUCUUGACCGAAGGCAACCCAAUUACCAUCUUCUUAUCAAAAAGUGUCCUCAAUCCGUUAUAGCCUAAGUGACCAAACCGGCAAUGCCAAAUAUGAGAUUCAUUUUCUGAUACAAUUUGGAAACACGAAGAAGCUUUUGGUAUCAUGGUAGCCAACACAGAAAACAUUCUAUUUCCACUCAUAUCUGACUGCAUAAUUAAUCCUUUCUGAGAAUGAUAUACCCUACACUUCUCAUGUUGAAUCAAAAUAGUUAAGCCUUUUUCUUGAAGUUGCCCUAUGCUCAAUAGAUUAUUCUUAAGUUCAGGAACAUAAUAGACACCAGAAAUUGCCUGAGUAAAUCCAUUCACUUGCAUACGAAUGAUACCUUUUCCCACAACAACCAUUCUGGUGUUAUUGCCAAGUUUUACAGUUUGGCUAAAGCUUUCAUCCAGUUCUGAAAACCACUCCUUGUUUCCAGUCAUAUGAUUGCUGCAACCGGAGUCAAGGAACCACACUUCUUCUAUUUUGUCUUGCUCCAAUUCAACAUAAGACAUUAAUAACAAUUCUUCAUCUUUUUCCUUCUCUAAUUCAACAUAAUUGGCAUUUUUCUCCCAAUCAGGACAUUCAUAUUGAUAGUGUCCUAACUUGUGACAUUUAAUUUGAAACAUUCAAUAACAGCUUUAUUGAAUGAUUGUCUUCCCCUUCCUCGACCUCCUCUGAAUGAACCAUUACCUCUACCUCUACUUGCUUUGUCUUCAUGGGAGAUCUUCAGAACCUGCUCUUCUUCUCCACGACUUCUCAUCCUCUGCUCAUGAACAAGAAGACUACUUUGAAACUCAUCAAUAGUCAUCAUGUCUAAGUUGUUGGAUUCUUCAAUUGAGCAUACCACAUAAUCAAAAUUUGAGAUCAUUGAUCUCAAAAUCUUUGCAGUAAUGACUGUUUCACUCAUACUUUCACCAUGAGCCUUCAUUUUGUUGGCUAUGGUUAAAGUACGAGAAAAAUAUGCAUUCACUGUUUCUCCUUCCUUCAUUUGAAGAAUCUCAAAAUCUUUGCGUAAAGCUUGCAGUUGAGCUCUUUUGACCCUAGUUGAACCUUGAAAUUUUUGCUUCAUUGAAUCCCAUAUAUUUUUUGUCGUGUCCCUCUUGAGGAUUGUUUCAAGGACUUCACGAUCUAUUGUUUGGAAAAGGUAAUUAUUUACCUUUAAGUCCUUCAACUUCUGCUCCUCGAUCAAUUUGCAUUGUGUCUCCGUAGGCUCUAUUCCAUCUGCCACCAUCAAUAUCCCAUUCUCAAUGAGAUCCUAAUAUUCUUUGGAGCGGAGAAAAUUCUCCAUCAACAUUGCCCAAUGAUCAUAAUGACCAUUAAACCUUGGAAUUGCAGGCUGCACGAAACUGCUACUCCCACCUUCUGCCAUUCUUCUCAACUCGUUCUACUCGAAAGAAAGAAAAACUGCAGUUUCUUUCUUGACUCACACUCACUGUUUUUCUCACAUGCACUCAAUAUCAGACCCCUACAAUGGAGCUCUGAUACCAAUUGUUAAAAAGAACAAUGACAUACAAGUUUUAGAGAGAAUGCACUUUUUCUUAAUCUUCAAAUUCAACUACUGUAGUUACAAUGUUACAAUAUAUAGACUAGUGCAGCUACAAUAUAUUUAAAACUAUUCCGCAUAACUACUCCAUUUAACUACUUCACAUAACUCCUAUUUACAAGAAACUACCACUAACUUCUUAACUUUUAUUUACACGUCAACACUUAUGUGGUCUAUUUAUCAACUUAAUCAUGACCACUUAGAUAUUAAUUUUGACUCUUUUUAUUUAUAAGAAUAGAAGAUAAAAAGUUUAUAAUAAUUUACAUAUUCGACUCAAUCAAAUAAGUUAGGUCUUUUGAUUAAUUUUGACCUAUUUACUUACUUUAUUUAACAAACUAACAUAUAAGUGUUGAGAACUUAUGAACGAUGGAAGUUUUCUGAACUUGAGCAAAGGAUUAUAUAUAUAUAUGGAGUGAGGAGAGAAAACAUCACAGAAAGCAAGUUUUGCACACCAAAGUACUCAUUCAUUAAUAGCAAUAUAUAGAUUCUUCACAACCACGCACCACUCUCUUGGUAUAUAUGGAACACGUAUAUAACCCAUAUUACUUGGUGGUGGGGCGCUUCAUACUUUUAUUUAAUACACAAACAUAACACGGGUAGGGAUGAAAACCACAUCACACGAAGAUCACAUAGCUGUUAAUAAUAAUAACAACACAUGCAACAUAAAACCACGCACAUGAAGUGUAGUGGCUUCCUCUUCGUUAGAUUGGAAACGCCUCAAUGAUGGAAGGAAGAGCGUUGAUCUUGAUGAUGUUGUAACGGGCGAAACCUGUUUCUUUGAACAGCCACUUCCAGUUCUCUUCCGUCCUCUCUUUGCCGCCGGCGUUGUGAGCGAGAAGCAUCAUGUCAAAUGCAAUGCCAACGUCGGUGAAGAGUUCGUUGCCUUCGGGCCGCAGCACGUGAUCAACGAUGAUCACUUUCCCUGUUUUCUCUGGUAUUGCCUUCCUGCAGUUCUUCAAGAUCUUGACGCAGUGCUCGUCGCUCCAGUCAUGCAGAAUCCACUGCAUAUAUAUAUUCACCCCAAAGAAAAAGUUUUGACGGGUAAGUGCCCAAAAUACUUGACGUGUAAUAAAAGACUUCACCAUAUAUCAUAUACUUGAAAACCCCACUAAUUAUAUAUGUUUGAUAAAAAAAAAUUGUGUUUUUAUUUCUUUAUUACUACCAUAUAACAAUAUAGGAUUUAAAUUCACUGCAGUCAGUCAUAGUUAUGUUCACCUAAUUUUAAUCAAAAUGUAGAAGUUUGAACAAAUUAUUUUUCUUUUAAAAUACUUAAUUAACCUUCAUUGUUUUUCUUUAUUUUUUUUCAUUUUAUUACUUCAUAUCACUUGUCGUGUUUAUAUUUUUUUAUUUCUCUCUCUCUUGAUCACUCAGUAAGUGUUAACUAAAUAUUGAAAAAAAAAGUAUUUGAACACCCAAAAAUGGCACCUUGAGAGAAAGAUAGAGAGAGAAGAGAAAGAAAUAAUGAUACCCUAGAUAAAUGUGAUACGAUAAGAAAAGAGAAAUUAAGAGUAUUUGAUAUUUAAAAAUAUUAAAAUAUUGGGACUCAAAUAUUUUGAGUGUCCAAAUUUCACCUUUUCCAAAAGUAGUGUGUUUGGAGUGUUAUAAUGCCCUUAGCACAUGCAAUUUAAUAAGAUAUGGUAUUGAUAGUUUUUGAUACCUUCAUGUAAAUAGCAUCAGCAUCUGGAAUGGACACGAACAUGUCACCUCCAACAUGGGUGAUUCCAUCAUACUUAGGAGCAGUGGCAACCACAUGAGGCAAGUCAAAGUUGAUGGCAUUGAUGUGAGGAUAAGCCCUAACAAUCUCAGAAAGAGACCCUCCAAUGCCACCUCCAACAUCAACCAAGGACUUAAUCUGGUUGAACCCAUCUUUGUACCCAGUGAUCACAGCCUUGGACACAACCCUAGCAGUGCACACCAUGCCCUCAUUGAACAAUCUAUUAUACUCAGGGUCCAAACCUGUCAUCUCAAAUUGCUCAUGGCCAUGGCACUUAAAGAAAGCAGUGCCAUUUUUAGUGCCUUCUCUAAUAAUCUCACUAAUGUAGUGAGCAGGGUUCAGGUGAAUUGGGUGGUUCUCCAGCAGCAACAUGGGUGCUAGGGUCAUUUUUGUGUCGCGGAGGAUCCACUUCGAGGCACGUGUCAAGCCGUAGAGGGUCUCUCCAGUCUCUGAUUGUUCUGCACUGAAGAUCUUUCUACGUACCAUCACUCUCAUCACUCUCUGUAGAAGAGAGGCAUCUGGGGAGGGUGCAUCAUCUAUGUUCUCCACGAUUUGUGACAAGGAUAGUGGUUUCCCAUAACGGUCUAUUAUGUCGGCUAUGCGCAGCUCUAUGACGGAUUUCAAGGCCACGGAGUCCGUGAAGCAUGUCAUGUACCUCCAUAUUUCAACUUGCCCUAGCAAUGAGUCUUCCUCCUCCUUGCUCAUACCCUGAUGGCAAAUAUAAGCAAACAGAGAUGUAAGAAUAUAUAAAAUUAUUUCUUUAUAUAUUAUUAUUUAAUCACAAAUAGUUAUAUAUUAUAAAUGAUUUAGUUUUAUAUUAAUUACUUAAAAGUUAUUCAUUUCUUGUUGACUAAAACUUAGUUUAGCUCAUAUAUAAUAUAAAGUUAACAGAAAAAAAAAAGGUUUUGAUGGUAUUAUGUGCAUGACAUGAACCCAAAUGUACAAAAUGUACGUGUGUUUCAAAUAGAGACGCAUCCAGCAGCGUGAAAAUAGUGUAUAGAGAACUAAUGGAUGCAUCAGCAUUUUUCUGUCUGCAAAUUGAAGAACAAAUCCAUCUAUCUCGGCCUUUUCUUAUUGUCAUUAAAAUAGAAAUGAAAUUAUUAAAAGCUUGAUUUUCUUUUCUUUUGCUGAUCUAUCAAUAUUGUUAUUAAUUAUUAAAAAAAUGUAAUAACGGCUCACUCUCUUUUUAUGUUAUGUGUACACUAGGAUGUUAUAUUAACAUAAUCUGCUAUCCAGGGGUGGCGUAUGACUUUAGUGUGCCAUUAACAUGGCCCUUCGAAGAAUCAGUAAAAUUGUGUAACUCCGGCUUAAUACUGUCACAAUUUUAUUUUUACAAACAACUCGAGAGAAGCAUAUGAUAUUAACUAGCAGAAUCAUAUAGGGAUCAAACUAAUAAUUCAUUUGAAAUACUAGUUUAUUAUUUACAUAAUUAAUAAUCUAUAUUAUUUAUAAGCAACGAUCAAAUUUUUGUAUAAGGAUGUAAACAAAUUGAGAGAAUUUACAGUACUUAAUACUUUAAAUUUGACUAAUAAGAAAACAUGAUAAAUGCUUCAUUUAUUUAUAUGAGAAAAAAUAUAAAUCCUAACCAAUUUCUUAGUUUUUCAUCUCUUUGAAUAAUUUCUAAAUUUAUCAGAUAGUAUUUGGCAAACACUUAUAUACACACACACAUUCAUAGUCAUAUUUAUAGAAAUUAUAUCUAAGUUUGAAAAAUUCAUUGUGAUCUGAAAUCAUUAAUAUUUGGAAGUCAUAUUAAAUUUUUAUUUAUUUUUAAGUGGGAGUACUAAUUUAAAAGAAUAAAAUUCUUUUAACACCUACUUUCUUUGUUUAUGAACUCAUAUUUGAAAUCUUAUCUAAAAAAUAAAACAAAAAUAAUCUUACUACGCACUCAAACCAAUAUACAAUAUAGGUGAAAUAACAUUUAACAGUGUUUGUACAUGUAAGCUCGAGCAUUUUUAAAUAAAUGAGUCAUAAUUCUUCUUUAAAUGAAUGAGGUGUUUAAAAGCUCUUACUUAUUUAGAGCAAAAACUUAAAGACCAAUCAAUUAAUAGUUUGCCUAUAUGUAAACAUCUGUUUUUGAUUACCAUUCAGAUUAAUUUGCCGGUGUUAGCAAAACUGACAAUCCUGUGCGUAAUUUUAAAGAAAACAAAUUCUAAAACUCGGUAUUUGUUGUAUAUGACCAUGCAUCCCUCGAUAAUUUAGUGUCUAGGCCGGAUUAUCACUUCACAGCGCUCUACACAUAUUCUUCGGGGAAAAGAAAAAUGAAAAUUAGGUGUUUACACAAAUUUUUCUUUUGUUCCAAAAAUCUGACGUGAAAUUACCAAGAAAACAUAACUAAUUAAAAGCAAAGAACCACAUAAGUACUUCUUCCUAAGCUAAUUCCGAUGUAGUACUACAAAACAAGGUAUUCAAUCCAAUUCCAUUAGUAACUCCCCAGCAGGCAAUAUAUUACAACGUUGUGUUUGGGGAUGCGAUGAUAGUUCCAUCCGGAUAACCUCCGGCUUCGCUUCAUUUUUGAACGAAAACAUAAAAUCCGAUCAAUAGGGACUGUAAAAAAAUAAGGGAGGGGGGGGGGGGGGGGGCCCGGGGGGGGGGGGGGGUUAAGGUUUACUACUCAUUAAUGGGUUAAAAAAUGUUUCUAUAAAUUCGAUGAAACUGGAAUUGUUCAGUCUAUUAAAUAGUAUUUUUUAUAAGAAAAGUCUAUUAAAUAGUUUUUUUUUUAAGAAAAGUAUAUUAAAUAGUUAAAUAUGAUAGUUUAGUGGAAUAAAAAUGAAAAAACAUUUUCAUAAAAAAUUAGGGGCAGAUCCCACAAAAAUCAAGUCUUGAGAAACUUCAAAACUUAUUUGAAACUAGAAAGCAAAAAUUACAUAUUAACUUUUUUGACUGAAAAAAAAUACAUAUUAAUCGAUGUAUAACUCAUUAUUACUGAUUAUUUUUUUGUUGUUAAUAGAGUUUCGUUGGAGAAAUAAGAAACGAAUAACUUUGGUAAAAGAAAAAAAACGAAUAACUUAUCAAUUCUUUACUCAUUUAAGUUAUAUUUUUAUACUCGACCUAUUAUGUAAUAAAUCAUAAUUAAUUUUUUGUAAAAAUAAAUCAUAGUUAAUUGUCAAUAAACACUAUUUUAGGGGCAUUGUAUUUAUUGUAUACAUCAUAGUUUGUAUAAAAUAAAAUAUUUUGAAACAUUAAGAUUUUUUUAAUUUGAUUAUUUAGACGUACUCAUGAAAUUAAAUAUUUUGAAGACAAUAAAUAAAAUUCUUAACCUGUAUAGUAAUAUACAAUUUGAAUAGUUUGUAUAAAAUUUUAAAUUCAAACUUUAAACAUAUUUUAAUCAGUUCUUCAGUUUUUCAUGCAUCCCCGUGAGCGGGUUGCUAGUAACCAUGAAAAGGUAAUUUGGUCGCAUAUAUGCAUAUAAAAGUUACAAGUUCUUAGUAAAAACAUCCCUUCCUCAAAAUAAUCAAUAUGUGAAAAGUUAUUGCCACAGGUUCACCAAUAAAAUCACUUUUGUGCAAAAACAUUGUGCCUGUUUGAUGAUCCAUAUGUUUUCUGAUGCUUAGAAGAUCUAUUGAAGUAAGUUUGAAAAACGACUCUGUAAUGACUCUUUUUUUCCAAAUUGUUUACAAAAUUUACUUUUUAAAAUAAAAAAUAAAAACUAAGAGAGAUUUUCUCUGAAAAAUGACAUGAUUACUACAAACAGAGUUUUUUUUUAACUCAAAGUUCUCUUUUAGGGAAAAAUCACCUUUUCAUUAUAAAAAAUCUCCCGACAAAAUCUUCAUAAUAAAGUAUUUUAUAAAGAGAAUAAAUUAAUUUUAUCACACAAAUAAGAUUUCACAAGAGGUGGUUACACAGUGGUCAACAAUACUACUUGUUUGGUUUUCCCCUUCCCUUAAAUACAUAUAAAAGAUCCAAAAUCAAUGCUUGACACUAAAUAUUCCCCUCCAUGAAAGAAAUAUUUGCAAUCACCGCCAUACAUAAUCAGCAAUUUAAGCUCAAUGGUGCCCUCUAUGAUUGCAAUCACAGUUCAAAAGAAAUUCCAUUUCCAGAAGAGUUUCUCAAAGUCCUUAUUCUCUCAUAUGCAUUGCUGCCUAGCGAGAGAAGUAUAGAACUCGAACUGGAGAAGGCAGGGUAGUACUGGUCCAGGGCCACAAACCUCAUAUAUUCAAACCUUAGAUCACUGAUUAAUUAACAAAAGUUUGAAUAAUAUGCCAAAAAAUUAAUCAAUUUAUAACUGACAAAACUGUAAAGAAACUAAAAAGACUUUUUUUUUAUGUAACAAUGCAUGCAAAUUGUCCCAAAUUUAAAGAAACAGAAAGAAUAUGUCAAUGAUCAACUAUACUCAUCAGAAAUCAGAAAAAUAUGUGGUUGCUUCAACAAGAAACAUCAAAAUGACUAGUAAUUUUUAAAAAUUGAUGCAUAUUAUAAUGGUUUUGGCUCAGUGUCAAAGGGGGCAUCAAUCACCAAUGAAAGCCAAUGCCUAUGACAAAACCCACCAUAAAGGCAUAUCAUACUCUUAAGCCUUACCUCUAUCUUUCCCUAUAAAAUGUAAGAUGCAUAUUAGCACAAUAAUUAACCCAAAUUACUAAUAACUGCUGGUCAUGUUGUACUUUACUAAGUUUAUUAAACAAAAUACAAAUCUUUUGGAUCUGUAUAGUGAGUUCACUGUGCAUUAAUCUCUCUAUUUAGGGUAACUAUCAAACAGUUCUAAUAUAUAAUAUUGACACAUAUAUAAUAUAAUAAAUAACAUGUGAAUUCCUCUCAUGACUUUGUGGUUUUUAGAUAUCUUCUCAAACCAUCAAAGUGGGGGUCGAACAUGAUAUCAAAUAAAAUAAAGGGUACAUACUCCACAAAAUUACAUAAACAGGCAGAGAGAGAGAUACAGUAAUUAAAUUUCAAUUCCCAUUAUUAAGAUUAUUUUAGUGAUGAUUAACCAUACAGUUGGCUCUAUUUCUACGCACCUUGAACUCCAAAAGGUGGGGAGUCAUUGAAAAGAACAGUCUCCAUAUUCUGUGGAAUUCUAAGCAAAGAAAUCAAGAGGUUUCAACUUGGUGCUCAGUGCAGGAAGCCUUUCCCUUACUCACAACAAGGCUUCCAGUGAGUGAGUUCAGUGGGGUGUGUGAAACUGGCUAGGAAAUGAACGGUUAAUAAAGAUGAUAAGGUAGCAUGAUGUGUGCGGUUGAGAUUCACCACACAGGUUUCCAGGAAUGAGCAAUUGAAUUAUUGAGAGGCUAUGAUACUAUGUGAUGGAUGAGUGUGUGGUUCAGAUCAGAACCAAUAAAGUUUGUGUUCUGCUUUAGAACAACAUUAUUGGUACUGUAAGGACACAUUAACCGUGAAAUGCAGCUUUCAUGAAUUUCAGCCAGAUUUUAUGCAUGAUAUUGGAAAGUGACUCAGUCCAAUGUCUCUUCUAUGGUACAGUUUUCAAAACAUUAUUAUUGAUAGAUUAUGCCUUUCUUCUAUCACAAAGUUUUAAAAUAAACAUUGUCAUUGAUAGAUUAUGCUAAUCUUCUAUCAAAGACUUUUAAAAUAAACAUCAUUAUAGAUGGAUCAUGCCACAUGUCUAUAUGGGAUAGCUUUGAAACAAACAUCAUUGUUUUUUUAUUUGUAGGAAUUCAAAAUAAAUACUAAUAACUCACGCAUUAUUUUCAACUAACUGAGUGAAUCCUCUUGGUACAAACAUCAUUGUUUAUAGAUUAUGCUACUCACUUAUUAGCUCAGAUUUGAAAUAAACAUUAUGUGCCAACAAGCAUUAUUAUUGAUACAUUACUUCUAUAAUGAACAAGAAGACUCUUUUAUAGCAUGUGUAAAAUACAGAAGAACUUGAUCAGCAUAUAUAAUUAAAGACAAACCUGGUUGUCACAUCUCCAAUUUUGUACCAUCUGAAUAUUGACACGUUAGAGCAACAGAACAUACUAAGUACAAACCUACGCCUUCAAUAAUGCAAAAGGAAUUGGUCUUUUUAGCAAUGAUAUUAACAGAUACCAACUACCAAUGGAAUCAAUACCACAUGGUGCAAUGAUGAAUGUGACUACUUGUGUCACUUAGUGUUUUUGUUUUCUUAUGAUCAAAGUGAAACGACAGUGUAAGGGAUUGUGACCACAAUUGCAGUUACCUCUGCAAUUUUCAGCAAUUUUACUACCAACAAGAAGAGCAAUGCAACUACAAUUUAAGACCUUGUCCUAAACAACAGAGACAAAUUUUGUUAGGCACACAUAUACACCUACCGUGGU
rnacentral:lncRNA from 1 species